rnacentral:lncRNA from 1 species
AGAACUCAAGUAUUGAAAUCUGUCCUUUUUAUAUAAAAGUAAGAAGCUAAUACAACAUUUUAUUUUCAUUAAAAUUGCCCUCGUUAUCCAAGGUUCAUUCAAAAAAAUAAAGUUUAUGUAAUGGAAUUUGAAAGUAGAAAUUUUUUUUCUAAUUAAUCAAUAUGAAUUGUUGUACCCAUUUCAUUUUGAUUGAUGGAAUAAUUUGUACUUUGACCUGCAGAGUCUGCUGAAUGCAAAGAUCCAACUUCUAAAAGUGGGUAUUCUAUGCUAUUCGUUCAGUCCUGUUUAGAUUGGAUUCGGGUUGAGUUUGAAAUGUGUUUGUAUUAGAUUCGAAUCAGACCUAAUUAAUUUCGGACGGCAAUUGCACAUUAAAAUAAUAAUAAUAAUAAAUAUUGAAAGCAAAAGACAAGGCUAUUUUAUUCCUAAGUAAUCUAAACUAAGAUGCCAUUAUUGACCAAUUCCAAGAUCUUAAAAUUAGAAAGUAGCAGCAGCAGCCGCGCGAUUUCAUGUUAUAAAUUUCAUGAACACAUAUUCAAACACCAUCAAUUAGAUAGAAAGUAGGGUACUGUUCAUACAACAAUAUUACUGUAGCACACAAAACCACAAUAUUCUUUAUGCUACAGUACUGUCAUUUUUAUCAUGGUGGUGUUUUGUCGAUUGUCAAAUAUCAUUAUUCAUAUUUCGUUAUUUCAUUGUCUCACAGUUUGUAGAAAUGCUCAGUCUCAGUUAAGUACAGCAGCAGCGGAUGCUGUGAAGCAGCUGAUUCCAGAAUCAGCAGAUACUGACUUGCUUCCACCUCAAGACUGUGGAUUAUCAAAGCAUGCCCCGAGUUCUACUCCACAGACAAGAGCAACACUUGCACCACCAAACACUUGUACUUCGGCCUGUAUCUGCAUGCAAAUUCACGGAGGUCACGGUCAUGAGUUUGUUUCUUCAUGCAAAGCAACGGCCACUGCUGCGUUGUUUCUUCUUAUUUCUGCCAAUUCGAAGUCUAGCUGAGAGUGAACAGACACAAAUUCGCCUAAGCCAUACUUAGAGCUCUGGCAAUUAAGCUGGCAACAACCGCUACAAGCAUUGCUUUGGACUACUGCUGCUUGAUAGUGCCGACUCCUAUUACUUGUGAAGAUGUUGACAUAAUGCCAUCGUUGGCUUCUAAGAUUGCUGCUCUAAUCAACUGAGAGCGUUUUGAAUAGUCCCCGCUGUUGGCUGUUUCUGCUGUUGACUGAUUACUAGUGAUCUCAGAUGGUUGGCAGAAAACUCAAAAGAGGAGAGAAUACAGAAGCGGAUCGUGCCCUUUAAGUCACAUGUUGCUUUCUACCACAUCGUUUCAAACGAAGUUUUACUAUAAUAUUUCUCUAGUUUGGACUUGGUAUGUAAUUAAUAGUCAUUGCUUUGGUCAAUACACAGCCUCUUUUCCUUGUACAUGAAGGGAAUAUUUAGAUUGUUAUUCUUUCAUCCAGAAUAAGGACAUGAAAGAGCACGAUUUUUGUAUCUAUUAGAAUAGACCGAACAAUUUUUGUCAGAAGUAAUUAUGUAUAUUGACAGUAUAGCUGAACAGGUUGAGGAAAUAUAUAUCUGUUGAGAGAAGACUUGUUCUCGUAAGACAAAAAUUCUAGCCUCUAUGCUUGCAGCUGGAGGGGCCUCUGUUUCUGAACGGGGGAACUCUGUUUCAGCAGGCUUGCUUAGAAGGGUUGGAUUCGUUACUGGGGCAAAUUGGACACAUGAUGAGGUGCAAAUUUAGGAAUAUUUUUGUCUCAUAUAAGAUAAAAAAUAUAUGCACGUAGCCGUUUACAAAGUGAUCAAUUCAUCACACACGAAACAAAUAAUUGAUCUGCAAGUCAUCGUAAUUCGUUUCAAUUUUCUACCUGCGAGCUCACAACAUUCAAAUACUUCACAAAGUCUACAAAGUUAAUAAAUAAAUAUACGUGACAGACUUAUUCUCAGACCAUUUCAAUAUUGGCAAAUAAUAAGUCUCUAAUUUUUAUGAGUCUGCUCAUAAUUUCUUUUGUGUUGACCCUAUUCUCAGGUGAUUCGCUUGCACACUCCAUUGCUAAACUCAAAACAGAUGAUGCACAUGACUGCUUUGCAACAUUAGCGUGUUCUUCAUCUUCACUCAGUAGAUUUGCAUCCAUGAUAUUCAUCACCGCAGGUAACGAGUCGUUAACCCAACGCUUUAUGCUCAUUUCUCCAGUAAAAAAUUCGUUUGUGGGUUUCAUUCCUGUAAAUACUUCCAUCAACAUAAUCCCAUAGCUGUACACAUCACCUUUUAUUGACACUUGUCCUUCUCUUCCAUACUCUAUAGAUUGCAUAAAUUAAAACAUCAGCAUUCAAUAAUAUUCUGCCAAGAAGAUAAUGAAAAACCAAUACUAAUAUAGUUUAAAAUUAACAAAUAUGAAGCUUAGAACAAACCUGGUGCCAUGUAACCUAUCGUGGCGAGUGUUCGUGUUUGUUUCAUAGAGUCUUCUUCACUUAAGAGCUUUGCAAUCCCAAAAUCACUUAAAUGUGCAACCAUGUUGUCGUCCAACAAUACGUUGCUAGGCUUCACGUCGCAAUGGACAAUAGGAUUGGAAUGACCAAAGUGGAGAUAUUCUAAAGCUGAUGCAACAUCUAUCAUUAUGCCCAAUCUCUGAAAAAUAUCCAAAUUAAAAUUGCUAGCGUACAAACAAUCCUCCAGACUCCCAUUCGGCAUGUACUCUAGUACCAAUGCUUUGAAAUUCUGAUUUGUACAACUGCUGAUAGUUUUGACCAAGUUUCUAUGGCGAAUAGUUUUUAAUAUUUCACAUUCCGCAUCGAAACUAUUUAAUGCUCCUUCACGUUGUAAGUGAAAUACCUUUAUUGCAACCUCAAUCCCAUCUGGAAAUCUGCCUUUAUAAACCGAGCCAUAACUUCCAAUCCCAAUGAGGUUUUUUUCACUAAAUUGAUCCGUUGCUCGCAAAAGCUCAUCAUGUGAGUAUCUUCUCCACAUCACUUGUGGUGACAUAUCAGCUUUAAUGUGUGAAACCUCUGUGCUUCUUCUUUUACGACAUCUGGUGAUCAAUCCAAAUGUAAGAGCCAGUAUGACUGUAACAAUGAACACCGUGCUCAAAGGCAAAACAACUCCUAAGAGAAUAACUUUUUUCCUUGAUUUGUUCUGAGGGCUACUUUUGCAAAGUGGGACUUGCAGAUGGGGUGAACCACACAACAAAUCAUUUCCUAUAAAUGAUUCAACUGAGAAGUUUGCAAAAGCUCCUCCUCUGGGAAUCUCUCCUACUAGUUUAUUGAAAGAGAGAUUUAGACUUUUGAGGUACAAGAGUUUCUCCAAAGAUGUAGGAAUAACACCGGAAAGAUUAUUAUUAGAUAAAUCCAAGAAUUCCAAGCUUAUCAACUCACCAAAAGAUUCUGGAAUAGGACCUUGUAAUCUAUUGUGUUUCAAGGAAAGACUUUGCAAAUUUUUUAGGCCUACAAUUGUGGUCGGGAUAUUCCCCGAUAAAUGAUUCCUUGACAAAUAUAUGCUUACGACAGCUUUCAGAUUUCCAAUCUCCAAUGGAAGAGACCCAUUUAAAGAAUUUGAUGAAAAGUCGAAGCUCAGUAUAUCUUCAAGGUUCCAAAAAGUUGAAGGUAUGACAGAAGUUAACUCAUUUGAACCCAGAGAGAGUAUCCGUAGAGAGUUCAGAUCACCUAAGCAUGAAGGGAUUGAUCCUGAAAGCUUGUUGCGGUUCAGGUAAAACUUAUAGAGUCUAGAGAAAUGGCAAAACUCCUGUGGGAUUGGUCCUUCAAAUUUAUUAUUUUGAAGAUCCAAACCUUGGAGUUUCUUUAGUCUACCGAGUGUAAUUGGAAGUGAUCCACUCAAAUUAUUGUAUCCUAAACUCAGCUUUGUCAAGUUGAUCAAGUUGCCAAUCUCUUUAGGAAUCCUGCCGUGAAUGUUACAUUUGUACAUGUAGAUUUCUUCCACAGAAACUGAAAGAUUACCUAUGGAACUUGGAAGGACACCAUCCACAGGAUUUUCCGCUAAAACAAUCACUUUUAAACUCUUGCAGUUUACCAAAGCAGAAAAUAAGCUCAUCAAUUCGGAGGUUGAAGAUGUCAAGUAGUUGCUUUGUAACCCAAGCCUCUCCAGGUUUCUUAAUUGGCCCAAUGCCUUAGGAAUAAGUCCUGAGAAGGAGUUAUAUGCCAGCUCUAGGUAAUAGAGCUUGGAAGCAUUGAAAAAGAAACUUGGAAUACUGCCACUAAAAUUGUUAAGCCCCAAGAUCAAUCCCUCGAGAUUUGGAAGUCCAAUUAAGUUCUUGCUAGAUGGAAGAUUUCCUGAGAGGGUAUUGUUCAAGAGGCUUAGUGUUUUCAAUGUUGACAUGUUGAAGAUUGUAUCUGGGAUAAAACCGACUAGGUUGUUUUGAUCAAUCCUCAAAAUCUCUAAAUUACGUAGACUACCGAUUUCUUGUGGAAUCUCACCUGCAAACAUGUACAUAAUUACAUAUUGUUAUGCUAAAUUUUGAACAUUUCGAAGGAUUUGUAAUGAUUAAUUUCUUCCACAUAUGUGUACUUUAGAAAAAACUGUGUUAUAGAUAAUAGAUGGUAAAUGGCCGGGGUACGUACCGAUCAAGUUGUUAAAGCUAAGAUAGAGUAAUUCGAGCUUGGUCGAGUUCCCAAGAUCUCUUGGUAUACGGCCUGUGAAUUGAUUAAAUGACAAGGAAACCCUACUAAGCUCUUUACAGUGCCACAAAUUGUUUGGAAUUGGCCCUUUGAAUUGAUUGUAAGACACGUACAAUCCUUUAAGACGUGGAAGGCCUUCACACAUGUCAUCAGGAAAGCUACCGGUUAGGCUAUUAUUUGAAAAAUCCAAACCAGUUGAUAUGGAAGAAAGAUUGAAGAUUGAAGCAGGAAUGGUUCCUGUUAACAAGUUAUUAUUUAGCACUAACACUUCCAAUUCUGCAAGAUUGCCCAACUCCUCAGGAAUUUCUCCUGCAAAUUAAAUAAAGCAACAUGUGUUAAUAAUAUAUUUACCAUUCAACUUAAUCAGAAUAUAACAGCUAUAGAGUGAAACAUGUUAUCUAGGCACAUAAAUUUAGCACAAACUGAUGCGGCAUUAUAUCAUGUGGCCUAUGUAGUGUUUUCAUUCAACCAAUCAUGUUAUGUCAAGUUAAUUUGUACAAAAAUAAUUUGUAAAAGAAUUUAUAGGUGUAUCAUUACUCAUUUACAUAACACUAGUGAUGGAACUAGUAUUUUAAUUUUGACAAGAGCUGUAAACUAUUUACUUAAAGUGAAUGUAACAUAAAUUAAGUGGGCUGAUAGUCAUGACCAUAAUAGAGAAAUUAUAAAACUAUGUGGGUUGUAACAAAAUUAAAUUAAAUUAAUGGGGCCAAAACAUAAAUAAACAUAUAGUUUGGUUAAUUUUCAAGCAGCCCUUGUUUUCCUGAAUAUCUUUCCAGCAUAGGCCCCAAGCCUAGACACAUAGCUCCGCCCCUUACACAACACUCUUGUGUAUAAAUGAGUACGCCAUAACAGUAAUAUCUAUAAAAUCUAUGAACAAAAGUAUGCAUAGAAAUUGAUAAAAUUUUCAUUUUAACCCCUAAUUUGCCUGAAAUCUUUUCCAAUCUGACCUCAAGGCCCUACACAUAAUUUUGCCCCUACAUAUCACUCUAUGCGUAUGUGUCAAUUAAUUCAAUGAGUAAAAUCUAUAGGCUGGAUUGCUGGAACAUAUUAUCUGGCAACGUAAAUUAAAAAGAAAAUAAAAAAUAAAACAAAUUAACACUUUGUGAUUUUUAUUUAUACCUUGGAGUUUGUUAUAGGGAAGACGUAACUCUUUAAGCUUUGUCAAAUUGCCGAUUUCUUUUGGUAUGGUACCCGAAAACCAAUUAUGACUGAGAACGAGUGUUUGCAGCGAAGAAAGGUUUCCAAGAUAAGAAGGGAUGGUGCCUGUGAGGCCAAGAUCAGGAAUGGUCAAGGAUGUGACUCUAUUGCCAUAGACAUCACAAGUGAUGCCCAUCCAGCUACAAACCGAAGUAUUUGAGGUCCAAUUUUGAGCCAAAAUAUUGUUGGGAUUAUCAUUGAUUAUAUGAGCUUUUACGGAAAGAAGAGCAUCUUGGUCUCUGGAUAUGUUUGCUGCAGCUGCCACAACAACUGAGAAAAGAAUCAAAUAAGGGACAAAGAGAUAUUGAUCGUUUCUCCCCAUGUUAAUUUUCCAAAGAACAAGCAAAUGCUAGUUAAGUAUAAAUAAUGAUACCCAAUAAUUUAUAACGAGCAGCCAAGUUGGAAUGCAUCUUUUUUAAUUUACAAUACCAGACACCAAGUACCCAGUUUUAAUAAAUGAUCAUCUUGUUUAGUUUAUUCCACCUCCGCUAGUUGUCUAUCAAAUGAUAAUUAAUCUAUGAUGUGCCAAUCACACUAUUAUUUUUAUUAAACACAAAUUGUUAUCUUACAAUUGGGUGGUGGUUAAGUAAUUUUACUUACUAUAAAAUACAUCUUUCAAUAAAUGAGUGAUACAUAAUAAUAUAAUAUUGAAAUUUAAGUUGAGACUCAAACAGUGAGAUCCUUAACAUUAUUGUUUUAUUUUAUUAUUAUUGUUUUUUUGUUAAUGUAUCAUAAUCUCACUCAGUUAGAAGGCCCAUGUUUUCCUAUUUAUAAAAUUCAUACCUUGUAACCUUUAAAUCUCAAGAAUUCAAAUCUGACAGACAGCUCGGCAUUGAGAUACUGCAAAAGAUACGACCAAUUCAUAUAUCCUAGUCUUGUGUUUUUCUUUAAUAUUGCAUGACAAAUCUAGUUACUUGUACUUUCAACAUUACAUGAUAAAUCGAGCUACUUGUAUUUACAAAUUAAAGAUCAAUUAAAAUCUCCUAAAUUAAUUCUUUAAUUUCGCAAAUUUAGAUAUCAAUGGACUCAAUCUCAACUCUCUUUUCAUAUGUAUGAGUAAGAAAAUAGUUCACUAUUUGAACGUCAUAUAUGAUUCCUGAUUUAAAAUUUAUAUCCUUUUAAAUAUGACAUUAAUUACUAAUGACCAUAUGUGAGGUUGUCGUUGUUGUGCGUGUGUAUGUACAUAUACAAUUUUUUUUCUAAUGAAGACAUCCGCACUUUGUUAAAGUGAGAGUGCACAUUAAAAUAUAAAAAAAUAUUGAUUUCAAUAUAUUGGAGACUGUGUUUUUUUUUUGUUAGUAUAUUGAAAUAUGUAUUUUUUUUUAUCUAUUAGUAACAUCUUCACUUAAAGUGAGAAUGUCCUCGCUGAAGAAUUAUUUUAUAUAUAUUCUAAAUUUAUUAAAGUUCAAAAAAAUUAUUAAGCCAUAAACUAUUAAAAUAUAUGAUUUAAUAAUUUUCUCGAAUUGUAAUAAAUUUUAAGAUCUUAAAUCAUAUCAAUACUCUCUCUUUCAUACAUAAAUGAUACUCAAAUUUUAUUAAAGAAAUAAAAGGGAGAGAAUUACAAGAUGAAUUACAAUAUAUGGGUGGACCGUGGACCUAGACUUCCUCAAGAAUAUUCUUUUUUAAUUAAAACGAAAGGAUCAUUCCCACCCAUCAAAAUCAUUGGGUACAUGACCAAAUUAAUAAAACUACGAGCAACGGAGUAAAAUUACCCUCGCGAUGGAUGCACCACCAUUCUGCACGUAAUUACCACGGAGGCUUGAAACUGGAACUCACAUGCUAAAAGCCAAGUUGAGGUUGUUGUUGUUGAACUUGUCUUGUCUUUUUUAUGAUAAUAUAUAAUUAAGCAGUACCUAUCACUGCCACGUCAGUCGUAAAGGCGAAUUAGGAUACACAAAGAAAAUAUGGGUCCGGCUACAGUACAUGCAGGUAUGUGAUACAGGCAAGCAAUAAAAAAAGGAAAAAAACUGAGCAAUGGUUUGGCUGCCAAGUACAAAAAAACAAAAGUAGGAGCAACCGGUUUUUAAAAGGAAAAAAACUGAGCAAUGGUUUGCCUGCCAAGUACAAAAAAAAAAAAGUAGGAGCAACCGGUUUUUGCAACCGGUUGCCCCUUAAAUUAAUUAAAUAAUAUAAUAAUAUUUAAUUAUAAUAAAAAAUAUUAAUAAAAUAAUCAUUAUUUUAAUAUUAAAGGACAAAUAACAAUAAAAAUCUAUUUUUAUAAAAAUAAAAAAAGGUUUCAAGUUUAUUGUUAUAGAUAUCAAGUUAAUGGUCUUGAUUUCAUGUUUAUUGGUCCAUUAAUUUCUUUAUUUUCAUGGUUGCAAGUUAAUGAUCUCCAGUUUCAUGUUCAUUGCCCUAAGUUUCAAGUUUAGGGGUUUCAAGUUUAAUGGUUUAGAUAUCAAGUUAAUGGCCAUGGUUUCAUGUUUAUUGGUCCAUUAAUUAAAUGAUUUUCAUGGUUGCAAGUUAAUAAUAUCAUGUUUCAUGUUUAUUGCCCUAAGUUUCAAGUUGAUUAAUUAAAUAUUUUUAAUGGUUGCAAGUUUAUGAUCUCAUGUUUCAUGUUUAUUGCCCUAUGUUUCAAGUUCACUGGUUUCACGUUUAACGGUUUCGAUAUAAAGUUAAUGGUCAUGGUUUCAUGUUUAUUGGUCCAUUAAUUAAAUGAUUUUCAUGGUUGCAAGUUAAUGAUCUCAUGUUUCAGGUUUAUUGGCCUACGUUUCAAGUUCAUUAAUUAAAUAUUUUUAAUGGUUGCAAGUUAAUGAUCUCAUGUUUCAAGUUUGUUGGCCUAAGUUUCAAGUUUACUGGUUUCAAGUUUAAUGGUUUAUAUAUCAAGUUAAUGGUCAUGGUUUCAUGUUUAUUGGUCCAUUAAUUAAAUGAUUUUCAAGGUUGCAAGUUAGUGAUAUCAUAUUUCAUGUUUAUUGCCCUAAGUUUCAAGUUCAUUAAUUAAAUAUUUUUAAUGGUUGCAAGUUAAUGAUCUCAUGUUUCAAGUUUAUUGGCCUAAGUUUCAAUUUUAUUGGUUUCAAGUUUAAUGGCUUAUAUAUCAAGUUAAUGGUCAUGGUUUUAUGUUUAUUGGUCCGUUAAUUAAAUUAUUUUCAAGAUUGCAAGUUAAUGAUAUUAUAUUUCAUGUUUAUUGCCCUAAGUUUCAAGUUCAUUAAUUAAAUGAUUUUCAUGGUUGCAAGUUAAUGAUAUCAUAUUUCAUGUUUAUUGCCCUAAGUUUCAAGUUCAUUAAUUAAAUAUUUUUAAUGGUUGCAAGUUAAUGAUAUCAUGUUUCAGGUUUAUUGGCCUAUGUUUCAAGUUCACUGGUUUCACGUUUAAUGGUUUCGAUAUCAAGUUAAUGGUGAUUGUUUCAUGUUUAUUGAUCCAUUAAAUAUAUGAUUUUCAAGGUUGCAAGUUAAUGAUAUCAUAUUUCAUGUUUAUUGCCCUAAGUUUCAAGUUCAUUAAUUAAAUAUUUUUAAUGGUUGCAAGUUAAUGAUCUCCUGUUUCAGGUUUAUUGGUCUAAGUUUCAAGUUUACUGGUUUCAAGUUUAAUGGUUUAUAUAUCAAGUUAAUGGUCAUGGUUUUAUGUUUAUUGGUCCGUUAAUUAAAUUAUUUUCAAGAUUGCAAGUUAAUGAUAUUAUAUUUCAUGUUUAUUGCCCUAAGUUUCAAGUUCAUUAAUUAAAUGAUUUUCAUGGUUGCAAGUUAAUGAUAUCAUAUUUCAUGUUUAUUGCCCUAAGUUUCAAGUUCACUGGUUUCACGUUUAAUGGUUUCAAUAUCAAGUUAAUGGUGAUGGUUUCAUGUUUAUUGGUCCAUUAAAUAUAUGAUUUUCAAGGUUGCACGUUAAUGAUCUCAUGUUUCAGGUUUAUUGGCCUAAGUUUCAAGUUUAUUGGUUUCAAGUUUAAUGGUUUAUAUAUCAAGUUAAUGAUCAUGGUUUCAUGUUUAUUGGUCCAUUAAUUAAAUAAUUUUCAAGGUUGCAAGUUAAUGAUCUCAAGUUUCAUGUUCAUUGCCCUAAGUUUCAGGUUCCUUCUGUUUCAAGUUUAAUGGUCCCGGUAUCAAGUUAAUGGUCCUGAUUUCAUGUUUAUUGGUCCAAUAACUGCAUGAUUUCCAUAGUGCAAGUUAAUGAUCGCAUGUUUGAAGUUAAUGAUUUAAUGUUCCUUUAGUUUCCUUUGCUUCCGCUGAAUAACAAAUAUUGUGUUUUAGGUCAAGAUGAACCGAUUAAAUAGCAUGCAAAAUGGUUUGAAAUCAAUGUGCGUGAGUAAUUUCAACAAAAAGAAGUGAAUGAGGAGUUGGCAUAAGCAGCCAGAAGUUGCAGCUACUAAUGGCCCUGCUGCUAAUGCUUAUUUUGGGGAUUUCAGUUGCUGCUGCUGUUGGCAUAAGCAAUAGCAGCAGCAACAACACCAGCAGCAGCAUCUGCUGCUGCUGCUAGCUGCCAGCAGCUGCAGAACCAGCAACAGUAGUAGCUAGCAGCUGUUGCUUUUGCAGGCACUAGCUGCUGCUGGAAUGCCAGCAGCCACCAGCAGCUGCUUUUGCAACCAGCAGCUGCUGGCAUUCCAGCAGCAGCUGCAGCAGCAACAACACCAGCAUUGAUUCUUGCUACUGCUGCUAGCUGCCAGCAGCUGCAGAACCAACAACAACAGCAGCUAGCAGCUGCUGCUGGAAUGCCAGCAGUUGUUGCUGCAUAAGCAGCUGUAGCAGCAGCUUACCAAUUGCUGCUUAUGCAGCUACCAGCUGUUGUUGGAAUGCCAGCAGCUGCAGCAACAACAACACCAGCAGCUACCAGCUGCUGCUUUUGCAGCCACCAGCUGCUGGCAUUCCAGUGAGACUUGAUCAUACGGGGACAACUGGUACCGCCUCGACUUUCGAUUUCUGUAUGGCCGAGGAGGGCCUAAAGACAGCGGAUUAAAAUCUUGCGGCUGUUGACAUUUCUUCUCUUGUUGUGCGGAAGACUACAUAUUUAUUCAAGACAAAGAAAGAAGAAAGAUUAGACUAAAUCAUAUAUAGUUUAGACAAAAUUUAACAAAUUAUUACUCUAUGUAUACCUCAUCUUCAAGUUCCGGCACCAAUUUAGGCUUCAUCGCGUCUUGCAAUACUUCUGCCAAUUUUUCUUUUAGGACAACCUCUUCAUCAGUGGAUGUGCUGAGGUACGCAAUUUUUUGUUCUUUAACUUCGAUGGGCGUACGCUUUUCCCAUACUAUAUCUGAAAGUGUGACAACUGCAGGGAUAGGCGGGUGCAUCUCCAUAUUCGGAGAGGAAAAGAUUGGACCAUCAGUUGCCUCAGCACCAGUAUAUGUAGGAGGUGAUUGACUAUCAUCAGCGACAUUCGUUCCUUCUUGACGAAAAUAUGCUCGUUCCAACUUUUCAACCUUUUCAGUAAGAGAAUCCAUUUUCGAGCCCAUUUUUUGUAGUAAAUCAUUAUUUCUUCUCAUAUGUUCCUCCAUUCUAUCCAUUACUGCUAAUAUAGCAUGAAAUGGAUGCUACCUUGCGGCGUCACCAUCGUCAAUUUGUCCUUCACUUUGAGCACAUGAUGUGCCGCAGCUGAUUUCUCGCAUCGGAACCUGCAUUAACUACAAAUAUCCAUAAAUAAUCUAUUCAAUUUAAUAACAUAACUACAAAACACUAUACAAUUAUGGAAGGGAACAAACCGCAUUGCUCUCAAAGUCACCAUACUUUUGUCGCCACUUGAGGAAUCUUUUUAUUUCACUAUCAGUCCAUGCACUAAGAGGACAUCCAUUCUCGACAACAGAAGAAAGCUGAAACUUAGUUGAUGACAUGUAGAACAGCUGCAAACAACAACAAAUUGAUUAAUAUGGAAAUAAUGAUCGAUAAUACCAUAAUCGUUUAACUAACGAGAAUACAAAUUACUAAAUAAAUCAUACCAUUAAAAAUAUAACACAUCCGUUCAUCGAGGAAAUUUUAUUUUCAUUGAACUUUGAAACUUCUUCCCAUAAAAAAUUGAAAGACCAGCUGGCCCAAUUUUUGCCGCGAAUAUUACUCACGUCUUUUAAAGCAUAAAGGUAUGAUGGGUUGAUGUAUGUAGUUGUAGUUGGACACAAAAUAGUUCCAAUCGCAAAUAGACUAAAUAGAAUACAGAAAUCUUCAUCUGCACAACUAUUUGUCUUUAAUUUGUCAUCUAAACUACCUAUUGGGAUGCCUUUCUUUCCUGAGCAAUACUUGGCUCGUAAGUCAGUAAUUUCACUAUCUUCACCACCAAGCACAAUCGGUGUUCCUCCGUCACCAACACCCAUCACGCUUGUAAAAGUUUCUGGAGUAAGCUUGUAUUCCAUUCCAUGGACUGUUAUCGACCGCUUAUCUACGUUACAUUGCUUAACUAACAAUCUACAUAAAUCUUGCCUAAGUCGCUCACAUUUUAAACCUAACAAGCUUCCAAAACCAAUUUCUCUCACAACAUCUUGUUGUUCAAUAGAUAACGAAGAAACAAUGUUGGAGAACCGCAAAACACUACAUCGAGAUAGGUGAUUACCCUUAUCAGAAUUGUUCUCCACUGUUGGAAUCGGUUCACUUAACAAUCCAUUGGCCAAUCUCGAGUUCAUUUCAGCCUUUUCAUUAUAACUGUUGAUGAAUUCGGCUUUAUUUUUCGCGCUGAGUUUCAACCAUUUGUCACGUAUAUGCCCCUUAACCUACACUAAAAAAAAAAAAAAAUUCAUUGGCCAAUCAUCAACGAAACUAUUAGUUAGUAGACUGCAACAUAGAAAAGUUAUCUACAAACCGUUUCAUCCACCUUCACACCUUCCUCCUUUAACUUUUGGAAUUCUAUCUUGCUGUAAAUAGAAAAAUAAUAUCAAAUAUCAGUUCCUUAUAUGUCAAUUAAAAUUAUUGCACUGUUAAACUGAAAUGACUACAGAAUGUCAAAAAUAAAAUUCAACAAUGAAUUAGUUUCUUACAAGUAGUAUAUGUACGAAUGCUUGCCCGGCCUCGGAGGAUCCAGCUUCUCAGACUGAAUAUUAAUGUCAUCUGCGACAUUGGCCUUACGCUUAACCAUUAUACUGUGUACACUAAAAAUUAUGUCCCCUGUCAAUACACACUGAUAAUGUCAUCAAACUCUCUCCACGAAUUCUAAAUCCAUGUAAAUUAUUACAUAACCCAACAAUACGCACUAAUAAACUUACAUGGUAAAAGUUGUAAUUUUUAAAUAUGAGAGGCGAAUGAUUCUUUUUACCACAUCAAAUAAAACACUCAAUCAACAAAUAUAAUGAUACCAAACAAAACCCAUGAUACCCAUGUCUCAUUACCGUAGGUGGACUGCAGAGAUGGCCUGACAACGACUCAGAAUGGGCUGACAGGAACUGAGUGGGUUGUGAAUCUGUAGCUGUAGAUCCUUGCCGACAAUGGAGAUCAACCUCCGCGUGUCGUCGCCGGAUAGCGCCGUCGUUGGUGGCCCUGAUGAGGCGUCUCGUGAGGGACUGGAGGCGAGAGAGUGAAUGAUGAGGGAGAGGGAGAGGGAGAGGGAGCCGUGAGCCGUGAGCCGUGAGUGAGGAGGGAGGGAAGAAGAAAUUGAUUUCCCGCCUGAGGUGAGAGCCUUUUGUUUUUUUUUUUUUCCCAACAAAUAUAUAUGCCUGGGUUUGAUGUGUAUUGAGGGGGUUUGGUGUGUGUUGAGACCGAUUCUGUAGGUUUCAAGUUUUUUAUAUUUUUUUAAUUAUUUAUUGUUUAAAUUCAUUUAUGGCCGUUGGAUUCAAUACAAUGAAUCCAGCGGCCAUAAAACCUGCGUGUAUCUGAUACGUGCAGGUAUUGUAGCAUCAGCCAUAAAAUAUAUCUUCUUUUUUUAAUUUUCUAAACCAAUUAUCGACAGUACUUUUUCGGACCAAGUAGCAUUCUGACCGACCCGGCAUCCAAAACCAAAAUCUUGACCAUGGGUUUCGUUAUCCAAAACCAAAGAAACACAAAUAGAGUGACAAUUUGAACCGCCAAACUCUUCUACUCUGGUCUAAAUCUCCAUGCAAAUACACACACGCACACACAGGUACUCUCAUCUCUGUCUAACUAUUAUCUUUACUCUCUUGUUGCCGCAUGAGUCUCCAUGAGAAUUGAAAAAUCCAAAAACCAUUGACAAUGGCAUUAAUUUCAUCAACAGACUUUGUUCCUCGUAACCUCGUCAUAUUUACUAGUCAGCAUCAGCAACUGAAACCCACUACUUCACAUUCAGUUCAAAGUACGGUAGUAAGUUGCAUAAACCCUAAGUCUAACGAAAGGGUCAGGGUUUCAUCGUCAGCUGAAACAAGGCCCAACACCCAUUUGUUAUCUUUUGAUGUCAAAGAGACCCAGUUCAUGAAACUUAUUAAAAGGUCAUUCAGGGCAGGGAAGUUUGAUGAGUCACUUUAUUUUAUUGAGUCUAUGGUCGCCAAUGGCUGCAAGCCUGAUGUUGUUAUGUGUACAAAGCUCAUUAAGAAGUUCUUUCAAGAAAGAAAGAGUAAUAAAGCCGUGAGGGUCAUGGAAAUUUUGGAGAAAUAUGGGGAGCCUGACGUGUUUGCUUAUAAUGCUUUGAUUAGUGGGUUUUGUAAGGCUAAUCAGAUUGAACUUGCUAAUAAAGUGCUUGAUAGGUUGAGAAGUAGAGGCUUUUCACCAGAUGUUGUUACAUAUAAUAUUAUGAUUGGAAGUCUUUGCAGUAGGGGAAUGAUUGAGUCGGCUUUCAAGGUUUUUGAUCAAUUACUGAGAGAUAAUUGCAAGCCAACUGUGAUUACCUACACGAUCUUGAUACAAGCUACCAUGCUUGAAGGUCAGACUGAUAAAGCUAUGAAGCUCUUGGAUGAGAUGUUAGCGAGAGGGCUUAUACCAGACAUGUUUACUAACAAUGCCAUUAUUAGGGGAAUGUGCAAGAAGGGAAUGGUGGGUCAAGCUUUUCAGUUUGUUAGAAGCCUAGAAUCUAGAGGUUGUCAGCCAGAUGUGAUAUCUUAUAAUAUGUUGUUACGAACACUUUUGAAUAUGGGGAAAUGGGAGGAAGGAGAAAAGCUAAUGACUGAGAUGAUUUCUCGAGGUCUUGAGCCUAAUAUUGUUACUUAUAGCAUUUUGAUUAGUUCACUCUGCCGUGAUGGCAAAACUGAGGAUGCUGUGGAUGUACUUAGGGCUGCAAAGGAAAAGGGAUUAACACCGGAUGCUUAUAGUUAUGAUCCAUUAAUUUCAGCAUAUUGCAAAGACGGGAGAUUGGAUUUGGCAAUUGAAUUCUUGGAUUAUAUGAUCUCUGAUGGUUGCUUGCCAGAUAUAGUAAACUACAACACAAUUCUGGCCGCUUUCUGUAAAAAUGGAAAUGCUGAUCAGGCCUUAGAAAUAUUUGAGAAGUUGAGUGAUGUGGGUUGUCCUCCCAAUGUGAGUUCUUACAACACAAUGUUCAGUGCACUAUGGAGUUCUGGGGAUAAGAUUAGGGCUUUGGGCAUGAUAUCAGAGAUGUUAAGCAAAGGGAUCGAACCUGAUGAGAUUACAUACAAUUCACUAAUAUCGUGUUUAUGCAGAGAUGGAAUGGUAGAUGAAGCUGUUGGGUUGUUGGUAGACAUGGAAAGCACUAGGUUCCGGCCGACAGUUGUAAGUUACAAUAUAAUUAUUCUAGGAUUUUGCAAAACACGGAGAAUCAAUGAAGCCAUUGAAGUAUUAGCAGCAAUGUUUGAGAAAGGAUGCAAGCCAAAUGAAACGACCUAUGUAUUGUUAAUUGAAGGGAUUGGUUAUGGAGGAUGGCGAGCUGAAGCCAUGGAGUUGGCUAAUGCCCUUGUUAGUAUGCAUGCUAUAUCUAGAGAUACUUUUAAACGGUUGAACAGGACCUUUCCUUUACUUGAUGUAUACAAGGAAAUCUCUCAUUUAGCUACCAAGGACUAACUUCUUUUGAUCUAUCUUCUGCUGGAAUUGGUUGCUCUUGACUGUUUUGUGUUCAAGUUUCUACACUCCGUGCUUGAAAUUCAAGCCAAAAAAUGUAUUGAUGAGGAAGAAAGAAAGAAGGGAAUGAAAGUUUUAUCGAUCAAUAUAGGAUCUUAGUCUGUCUUUAGUCCACAACAAUGCAGUCCAAGUUUAUUUUGUAGUAUUACACGAAGGCUGAAUGAUGAGUUUCAGUUAAAUUACAAUGAACUGUAAGCGACUUAAUGAAAGCAUAUAAUGGCUCAGAGAGUUGGAAAUAGGAAAUAACACGUGUGCCGGAAGAGGCUGAUCUUAUUUUGAAUUUAUCCUUUGGCAGAUAACAUCGAUUUCUGACAACAUUGAGAGCCGAAGAUCAUUUGCUUUGCAGAACUUUACAUCACAAGAGCAAUAUUGUAUGUUUUAGUUUGUUUGGCUGAAACAAUGUAUGUAUCGGGCUUCUACAUUUGCUUUGAAUGAAAUUUGUUCUGGAGUGAUACUACAAAGCAUGCAAAAACUGAGAAAUUGAAAAUUCGGUAAAAGCUGGAAGAGUUUAUGAUUCUUGCCUCUGUUUUAACUUCAUUUUUUGGCACUUAACCAUUUCAUGAAUUCAAUUGUUCAAAAAUGAUUUAUUGAGAACCUUUCUUCCAGUAAAAUUUUUCAAAUAGGAUUGAAGUACAUACAAAAAAGGCUUGUAUUUAGUAAAACAUGUGUCAAUAUAGCUGUCUAUAUAUACAUAAUUCUCCUUUACUGCAUAGUUUGAUUCUGGACAGUGCAUUUCGUGCUCUAUCAAAAUUUUGAUUUUCUCUUCAUUCUAAAUAGUAGUAUAACAAUUUUCGGAUAAUUUUCUGUAAAGAGGCUACAUACACAGAAAAGAUAACCCAUAAACUAACUGGGAAAAGAUUUAUGUUCGGGGUUUUACACACUCAUAAUUGCUGUGGCAGGUUUGCAACCUGAUAUCAAGAUAGGAUAAAAGAACCAAUUAAGAACAAGCUGUAACAGCAUGACUUUGAACCACGGGAUAGAAAUUAUCACCCUUCUGACAAUAGACGGACGACGAAAUUGCAAAUGAAAAACAUGGUUCAGCCUAUAAAAGAAAGAACAUAAUCUACAACACGUAUAAAAAUUUGAGAUCUGCAAAAACAAACAGCGACAAGUUGACAGUGCACAACGGCAAGACUGCACAACUCUAUUAUGCUACCCUUGUGGCUUCCAAGCAAUAAUGUGUCAAUAUAUCCCAAGAAAUUUCCCUGGCAUAAGACAACAUAUUCAGAAAGACGAGGCAAAUGCUUACUGUCUACUGGAAUGAGAUGCUUUGCAUUGCUUGUGGGUAAAACCAGCUAACAUGGUCUUACAGAUUAUAAAAAUGAUAAGCUGGUAGGAAUUAUGGGAUUAUCUAAAUUUGGUGAUAGAACAACUGUGAAUACAAAUAGAAGAACAGACAGGUCAGGAGAAAAGACCUUACAGAAAUGUAUUUUCUGCACGUCUUUCAGCUAAAACUUAGUCUAACUCCAAAAAGGCAGUGAAUAAGGUCAAGUCUGCAUAAACACCAUUUCAAGCCAACAAGGUUGUCCCUUUUUCAAAAACUUUCCAUUCUAUCAACUUUUGCCACAGCUUGUAAGCUUCUUCUGUCAUUCCAUCAUCAGCUACCUUUUUCACUAUAGUGGAAAACACAGUGUCAUCUGGCUUGUAUCGGCUUGAAAUCAUCAAUUCUAGAACUUGUAUUGCCAUAUCCACCUUCUUACUUUUACACAGUCCAUGAAUGACCAAUCUAUAAGCACUAUUUCUCAUUUUGUUUCCUCUUUUACCAAUUUCCUUCAAUAAAUCCACUGCUUCCUCAACUUGAUCUGCCCGGCAAAAUCCCCAAAUCAAAGUGCGAUGAGUAAUAUCAUCAGGAGAAAUCCCAUUUUCCAUCAUUUGACCAUACAAUACCAUAGCUUUCUCCAUACAACCCUUUUUGGCCAACCCAUCUAUCAAAGUAUUAUAAGUGAUCAAACAAGGGGAACAACUACUUCCGUUCAGUAAGUGAAGUAAUUGAAGCGCCUCAUCCAACAUUCCCUCUUUACAGAGAGCACCUAAUACAGUAUUAUAAGUUACAAUGUCAGGCUGACAAUUUUUCGAAACCAUUUGAUUAAAAGAGUUGAUGGCACGAUCCACAAGUCCAUAUUUACACAGACCAUUGAUCAAAAUAUUAUAGGUAAACACUGUUGGGCUAUGAGAAGCUUCAUUCAUGAUAUCAAGGAUCUUAUCUACUGCAUCCCAACAUCCACGGCUACCGAGAGAAUGGAGAAGUGUGUUGUAAGUUAUGGAAUUUGGCUCCAUUCCACGAGAUAAUAAAUUAUUUAUGACCAAAACUGCAUCAUCAUAUUUCCCUUGCUUACAACUAAAAUUAACCAGCGAAUUGUAGGUAACAAUAUCAGGACUACAACCCUCAAUUGCCAUAUCAUCUAGUACUUCAAUAGCACGGGCAAUACCACAUUGCUUGCAGACUUGCUCGAUAAGAAUAGUGUAGGUAAUCAGAUAAGGUGGGCAACCCUUUCUCAAUUGGUCCUUCCAAAAUCCAAUAGCCUGCUUAAAUUUGCCAUUGUCAAACAUGGUUCGGAGAAUUGUGUUAUACGUAAUUACAUCAGGUUCACAACCACUGAGGCUCAUUUCAUCCAAAAGAGCAAUGGCCGAUCUAAUCUGUCCUCUCUUGCAGAGACCGCCAACCAUCAUGUUGUACGUAAUUGUAUCUGGAGCCCCACCGGACAUGACCAUGAUUUGAAGGACUUUGGAAGCUUUCUCUAUCCUAUCUAUUCUGAUAAGGCCUCGGAUUAAGUUUAUGCAAAAAUGGAAGUCAGGAAUUUGAUUACGACGAGCCAUUAUAUCAAUCAACUUUGAUGCAUCAGUUAACUUCCCCCUGGAGCAGAAAUUUUGGAGGAUUUUAUUGUUAGUCUUCUCAUCGUUUUCAACAAAGGGUCCAUCUGAAGAUGGAAGUGAAGGAUUAUGAGAUUUUUUGGUAAUUGUCAGCCCUCUCAAUUUUUUAUUAACAGCCAAUACAUGACUUUCUGAGCUCCAUUCAUCUUGGUCAACUUCAUUGACUCUGUCAAUGCAAACAUUUCCAGGCAGCCCUCUGCACUUUAAGGACACAUUUCUUCCUGCACCAAGAUCUCUCAGUUGGGAAUAAAAUUGAGUUCUGUGAUUAUUCACAACUCCAUGUUGCAGGCUGACUUGUCUUGAACACCACUGCAGAUUAGGCAAACAAUGAAGUUCAAUUAUAGAAUUCGGCGGAACAACUGUGUAGCCCAUCUCCGGACUUGCCUUUCAAUCUGAUCUCACAAUCACAGCUAUAAUUUUUGUUGGAAAUAAAAAGGACUAGUGCUUAUGUUUUCAUUUCCUUGUAACACCCAAAAUAUUAUGCAAUAGCUCUUCAGCUUUCUCUACUUUUUUGAUUGACAACAAGAGGUACACCUGCGAAAGUUCAAACUGCCAAAAUCAAACCCCGGAUAUUUCAGUAAUAGGUCGUAAUGAAACAACAUCAUGAUACACAGCUACAAGAACCAGGAUGAUCAAAAUACCUAUGAAAGAAAACAAAUUGCAGUCAAUUAUUAAAGGAAAAAUCAUAUAUGAACAAGUAAAAUCACUCAGAUAAAUUAUAAUGAUCAAUUUGUAACAUAUUCAAACUACAUAUCCACUCCCAAAAUGCAACAAAUUUAAAUUCCCUGCUCAAGAAAAUAAAAAACACAACCUUAUCCAAUUCAUAUUUAACCUGAAUGAAUUAACAUAAUUUGUCACCAAAACAUCAAAAUUCAAGAACCCCAUUUUGAAUAACCAUAGGAAUUCAAAGGCUAUCGAUUCUGCAUGCAUAAACAUUUCUGCCAGAACUUAAAAUGACUGAAUGAAAAUAGAAAAAUAAAAUGCAACCCCCAAUGAAUUAUCAAAUAAUGAAAAUAAAGCGUUAACGGUAAAUAAGAUUACCGAAUCAUAAAGCACAGCUAGUUGGGUUGGCAUUAAAUUUGUUCCAUCACUCAAAAGCAGUUUAUUUCUUCUUGUUCAACUGCUGGGUUUAUAUGUGACGUCAAAACCUAGGGUUCACAGGAGUCGGCAACUAUAAAAUUACAAUUGAUCCCUUAUUAAAAUACAAUUUACAUUCUAACCAAUUAGUUUUGUUAUCCAUGCAUUUAAGUCCUUUCUUGUUAAGAACUACGAAACGACAUCACUAAAACCUUCGUCUCCUUCACUACUGUCAACAACCUCGUUUCUCUAUUUAAUCACACCAGGUACUUUCUGCUUUCUGCGAUUCGUUCCCUCGAUGAAAUCUAAUCAAAUGGCAAAAUCGUAAUUUACUGCUUAUUAAUUUUAACUUAAUUUAAUAACUGCUUCAACAAUAACACACCAUUUCUUAAUUUCUUAAGUCAUUUUUUCAUCUCUGGCUACGUAGAAUCAACUGACCGAAAGUAAUGAUAAAGAUGCAAGAAUAUUCAAACGGAGGAGGAGGAGAUGAUGGUGGUGGCGGCGGCGGGCCCGCCGACUUGGCCAAGCUUCAGUCUAUUAUGCACUCCAUCGAGAUCGCUUGCUCUUCUAUUCAAGUAUUUUUUUCUAACUUUUUAUUUUAUUUUCUUUUCUCUGUUUGGUUCUGAUAAAGUACAAGAAAAUUUCAAAUCGCACGUUCUGUGUUUCCUAGGAAAUGAAAGAGAAAACUAUUGUCUACCGUGACUAAUUUCUUUUCUCUUUACUAUUUAAGCUGAUUACUUGAUCAAUGGUAAAUUCCAAUUAUUAGGUUAUGUUCAGUUGCUUGGAAGAUAGAGAAAAUGUCAGUGAAGGGGGAAAAAAAAAAAAAAAAGGUCAACUUUGAAUGAAGUUUUGUCCCUAUUGUUGUUAUUUAGUUUAAAGCCUAUGACUUGUAGUGGUUUUAAAAUUGAUUUUUGUAUUGAUUAAAUAUCUAAAUGAACUAAUUCGAUUGCGUUUUGGUACUGCAAAAAUAAGGAAAAUCGAAUUGACUAUGGAUGAAUUUUAUUGCAUUUUUCCUUUGUAUGAGUUUGUUGUAAUAUUAGGUUUCUAAUGCAUAUGUUCAUGUUUACAUAUUUAUGGAGGUUUGUGUUUUUUGACACGAAUGAAACUUUCCAUAUGUAAGUAUGCUCUUGUGGACACCAGGCAGGCAUUUUUACUGGUGGUGGUUUUCAUUAUGGCAGAUGCAUGUUAAUCCAGCGGCAGCGGAGGCAACUAUUUUGGGGCUAUGUCAGUCCCCUCAGCCGUACAAGGCAUGCCAGUUUAUCCUUGGUAAGUAAAUCAGGUGUUAAAAAUUUCAACAUAAACUUAACGGAUGGAAGAGCAGUUAUGACCAACUUUUAAGACUGAGUAAAUAUUAGAAUGCAUUGGUAAGGCUUUUGGACACAAAGGAGGAAUCUUUUUACUAAUAUUAUGAAUUUAUAUUGCCUCUCCUGUUUCCCAUAGAAGAAAAUUUUCAAGUUAUUUUGUGCUCUGGACCUUUGAUUUCUAUAAUGCUCUUGGCUUACAGAUGUCUGAAUAGUACUUUUAUUAAUAGUUUUGGUGUAUGCACAUGCCCUUGAAGAUGAAUGAUCCUGCCUUUCUCAAUUUAAUACAUUUGUUUAUUUUAUUUUAUUUUAUUUUUUUAUUUUUCCCUGCUUCAGAGAAUUCACAGGUAGCAAAUGCAAGGUUUCAGGCUGCUGCAGCAAUUCGAGAUGCAGCUAUGCGAGAGUGGUCUUUCCUGACAGCUGAUGAAAAGAAAAGCUUGAUUGGGUAAGUUUUUACCUUGGAUAUUAUAUGCAGCUAUAAGUAUACAACUGUCAUACAUUGAUCUUUCUUCUUUGAGCCUUCUAUUCCUGUUAUCUUAUGUCUUACAUGAAACUGUGAAAGUCUCUUCCUUAUUAAUUUAAUUAUAGUAUCAUCCACUCUUUGGUUUUAUUUGAUGAGUCUGUGACUAAACAUAUCUUUUUUGCAGUUUUUGUCUGUGCUUUGUUAUGCAACAUGCUAGUUCACCUGAAGGCUAUGUCCAAGCCAAGAUAUCUUCCGUGGCAGCGCAGUUGAUGAAAAGGGGAUGGUAAGUUGCAUUUAACUUUAUUGUGGUAAUGAUGGUAAUAAUAUGCCAUGUUAUGUUAUUAAUUAUCCAGAAAAAGUGAAACAAGUUAUUGCUAUGUUAUGUUACAUGGACAGAGAUCAUAUCUAUCAUGGAAUCUAAAAUUAAUUUGGCAUGAAAAGAAUUAUAUUUAUAGAAAAGAACGAGAUUGGAACUUUUUGCAUAAUGGAGCAGUAUAAAAACUUUGAAUUGGUCUAAAACUUGAGUAUGGACCUAGUUUCAUCAUCUUCUUUGUUGUGUUAACAGACCCAGGUAGAUUGGGACAUGAUUGGUGUUAAUGAAGAAAUUAAACGAAGUAAGAAACUCAUGUUUUUGAUAAAUAGAGGAUUAGGAUUGCUGUCCCUCACCCUUUUUUUGUUUAAAUUCCCACUCAGACGCCAUGACCUGCCUCAAAGGAUUCACAUUGCAGAUGCGUAAUCUGCAUCAGCCAAUGAGUUCCUUACCGCUGUGAACUGCAUAUAUUCAGCUGUGUUUGGAAUGUAAAUAAUUCUUAGCAUACAUCGUAUAAAAUUACAGUUAUCUCCAGUCCUAUGGCAUGUAGAGAUACCUGUUCUCAUCAUCAUCCUAAAUGAAUGUCCGCAUGCUUACCCUGUUAUGGAUGGGCCCAAGCAGCCCCCCAGCUGUAGCUCCAGAAGUUUUUUUUCUUUUCUUUUUUUUUUCAUAUUGAAAAUCUUGCUGCAGUGGAAUGAAAACUUUCAUGAAGAAAUUAUCAACUCAAGUAUCUGUUGUGGAGAAUGCAUAAAAGUGAAUGCGAAGUAGAUCCUAAAUAACUGCAGAGCUUUAUGUCCAUGCCUCUCUUUGACUAAUUAGCAUAGUCUUGUGCCAUUAUGGUUUUAUUUUUUGUGUGUGGAUCAUAAGCAAUUCUAUGAGACAUCUUCUAUUCUUGAAUUCCCAUGAUAGCAAUAUGUAAUGCGAUGUUAUGCCUUAAAUAACAUAUGUGACAAUAUAUUUAUCAAUCCAUAUUGUCAAAUUGCAUUACAUUAAGAUUUCGCUAGUAUUUAUUCAUAAUUUCUAGUGUUCUAAGUUACCUCAUGAAAGAAAUUGAAACUUUAUGGUAACUUCAGCAAGUUUUUUCAUCUGUAGGCUUGAUUUUACUUCAUCUGAUAAGGAAGCAUUCUUCAGUCAGGUACUGCAAUUACUUUCACUGUUGUCCUCACUAAUUUAUUGGAACCAUUUAUCACUGUGUGAUAUUUUUCCCUAAUAAAUAUUUUUUUUUUGGUUUUAUGUGUUAGUAAUUUUUUCUAGUCCAUAUACUAGAUUUUUUGUGGCUGUAAUUAUGCUGGCUUCUUUACCUUCGGUUGUCAUUGUGGCAGUAACUUCACAUCUAUAGAUUCAUGAAUUAAUACAAUACCUGCGAUCACUUAAUCCAUUAUGUAAACUAUGAUCCAUCUUACUUGUUAGGCUGCCAAUUUCUGCCUGCACUGUGUAAGACUGCAAUAAGUUGUGCUUUAUAAUUUAACAAGCUAAGGAAGAUUAAUCAUAAAGGGAAGCUUGACUAGUAAGAUGUUUAUGCUGGGAAAUCUAUUAUGGCCAGGGAAACUAAGUAAAGUUGUAUUCUCGUAACUGUUUCCAUUGAUAUUUAUACAAUUGUAUAGCUACUUUUUUAAGCUUAAAUGACUUGUUGUAAAUCUGGAUUUUAUUAACUAGGUAUUAUUGGAUUAGUAAACAUCUGGUUCAGAUGUGCACUAACAAUUGUGCAUAAGAAGCACCUGUGUAAUUCUUCCCCAACAAAAGUGCACCCUGACUUUCAUAUGCUUGUAUUAUCACUGUCUUUGAUUCUCACUCUUGAAAUCACUUCGUGAGGGUGGGAUUCUGGUGCUUUCCUGAUCCUUUCAUCUUGCAUAAGUUUCUUACCAAGCUGCCUUUUAAACUUUAUUUACACUCAUUGGGCGCCAUUUACUGCACCAAAUGUCCUUCCCAAUAAUAGUCUUGGUAAAGUCUUUCAUGGUAAAGUUUCUUUGUUUCCUGUCAAAAUAAAUAAAUAAAUAAAUAAUUAUCUACCUCCACAUUAUUGGAGGCUCACUAUUUAUGUGAUUUCUUUCCCUUAUUUACCUUAGAGAAGUGCCUCUAUAGCUUUUCUAAACCAUGGCAAACAAAUAGGAAGUCAGAAGAGGGACUGAGAAUGAGUGAAAGUGAUGUAGGACAUUUUAGGAGAUUUUAUACUUUUAUUAUUUUUUGUUUUAAUUAGUUCUAUUUAGGUAUGCGUAUAGGUUUUUCUAUUUCAAGUUUAAUUGUGAUUUAGUUUCCUGAUUUGAGCUAACUUGGGGAAGUAGGUUUGUCCUAUUAUAAAUAGAGAAGUCUUAUCAUUGUUUUAGUCGAAGGUUUUGAUUAAUAAAAACCCCAUUUUUUUUUUUUUAUUCCUUUUGGGAUUAUCUAUCAAAAUCUCUCUUAUAAAGUCAUUUGGAUUAGAGUGUCAUCUAAUCUAGCUAUUAAGUGUUCAUAUCAAAAUCUCCUUCACAAUGUUGAAUCAUUUACAUUGGAGACUCGCUUCAAUUAGAGUGUAAUCCAAUCGGGUCAUUUACCCUAUCAAUUUGCUUUCGCUACCCCGUUGCAUCAGAAAGCUAGAUAAUGCAUGCUAACCAAGAUCACUAGCAUCUAUAGAACUCCCUUUUCAGGGAAUCUCCUUCCCUCUACCAAAUACAUUGGUAGUGAAGGGCUAGCAAUGGAUCUGAACCACAUCUUCUCCAGGAGAAAUAUUCAUUCAUGUGAAUGAUGAACUCUUGGUUGCUAUCUUUUUCAAUUUUCAAGCCAUAACAUAAUUUUCUUGUAAUGGUUUCUUAAUGUGGCUAUCCCAUAAGGUAGCAGAGCUGCUGUCAUCAAAACAAAAAGGAGGAUGCCAGAUUUCUUGCCUCUGAUUUUUUAGAGCUUCUAAAGAAACCUUAGAGUGAACUGCUGAACAAAAUUGAGAAACGAUUAACGAACUACUUUGAAAAUUCAUUGCCAGCUAUGUGAAAAUCCCACCAGUCCAAUGUAAGAUGUUAUACCAUCUCCAUUUUAGGUAGUAUCAUUUUAGGCUCAAAAACACUUCAGCCUUGAUGCCAGUUAAGGGGAAGCUUUUCUUUUCUAUCUUUGGUAAAUUAAAGUGUGUUGGAAAUUUAUAUGUUUUCAUCAUUGUCACUUUCUUGGUACCUAAGCUGUUGUAUCAUGUGUGAAGAUGUUUAGAGUUUUUCUGGUGUUGAAAUCGUGUUCUAGUCUAGCCCACUUUUUAUUCUCUCACAAAAGGAAAUCCUAUUGCUACAGGUACACCAGGCUGUCCUUGGGAUUCAUGGAGUAGACACGCAGUUCAUUGGAAUCAAUUUCCUUGAGUCAUUGGUAUAUGUUGCUUCAAUUCUUGUUCUUAACUGUUCAUCGCUUGGUCUUUUUAUUUGCCUCCUGAUUUAGAGCGUUGAUUCUUCUUUGCAGGUAUCUGAAUUUUCUCCUUCUACUUCAAGUGCAAUGGGCCUUCCUAGGGAGUUCCAUGAACAGUGCCGUAUAUCUUUAGAGCUAGAUUAUCUGAAGGUUUUCCCCAGGCUCUUGGCGUUGUACUAGUUAUAUAGUUAUAUGAAGAGCUAUACCUUGAGGAUAAGGGAAUAUUUUUAAUGGGCUUCCUCUAGCCAUAAUGUUUAAUAUACUGACCUUUGUCCUUUUUUUCCUUUAUUUUAAUAUUUUGAAUUAUAGACAUUUUAUUGUUGGGCAAGAGAUGCUGCUUUAAGUGUUACAAAACAAAUAAUUGAAUCUGAUGCCGCUGCAUCUGAGGUUAAAGCUUGUACUGCUGCCCUGCGUCUGUUGCAUCAAAUCCUGAACUGGGAUUUUCAGUUUGACACCAGUGGCAGAAAAAUUAGUAUAAAUGUUUUUUCAGCUGGGGUUAGAACUGAGAGUUCUUCAUCUAAGAGGUCUGAGUGUAUCAUAGUUCAGGUAAAGAACUUUCUCCAAUAAAAUAUCUGAUUAGUGCUGUGAUCAUGUUUACUGGUUGUAUAUGACAGUUAAAAUAAUCUGUUCAUGCUUGCAACUUUCUCUGCAAUUUUUUUUAAGGGAAGAAAACUUGAACUGAUGAUUUUGAGUCUUUUCUUGUGUUGCUAGGAUAUGGAAUAGUUAGAAUAUUGGCAUUUUCAUAUUCUGAUUUAUAUUCAUGUUGUUUGUAGCCUGGUCCUGCAUGGUGCGAUGCUUUAAUUUCAAGUGGUCAUAUUGUUUGGCUCUUGAACUUAUAUUCGGCCCUGAGACAGAAGUUUUCAAGUGAAGGGUACUGGCUUGAUUGCCCUAUUGCAGUCUCUGCUAGAAAGCUUAUUGUGCAACUCUGCUCCUUGACGGGAACUGUAUUUCCUUCUGGUAUGUCUUUUUCUAAUUAUAACUACUUGAUCACAAAAUGGUUUUAUCUGGUCCGUGUUUCGGUUUGCUGUUGCAAUUCUUUGCAAGCUUUACUGCAACACAAGAAAACACUCUGUCUCACAGUCCUAUUGGUACUUUCUUUGCAAGCUUUAAUGUUGUCUAUGUGAUAAACUUUGGAGAAUCGUGAAUACUUGGUAACAUCGGCAUCUGUGCCUCAGUUACUGUUCAUGACAAAGACUUACCGUUUAAGUACACUUGACUGUAUGGAAAUAUUACAAGAAUGUCUUUUAUUUGCAAUAUAUCUGUUGCCUUUUGCUGCAAUAUGAAUGGGUUGAUUUUAGUUCCAAAGCUAACAGUUGGACUUAAAUGAAACCAAGAAACCGAUUGUCUUCUUCAGUUAGUAGCACAUUAUAUGGUAAAAACAUGAAUUAUGAGAUAAACAAUUUUUGCUCUUUUGACUCAUAAAUUUUCCCUAUAGAAAUUUUAAUUCCAAGGUUUUAGCUUUGAUUAGUUUGUUUGAAUGAUCACUAGUGAUAUUCAAUAUUUAAUAUAGUUUCAAUUGGAUACUGCUACAAAUUUAAGGUUAAUUUGACUUGGUGAAAAGCUAAAUCCUAAUGGUUCUUUCAUCUUGAUGAUUUCUGAAAAAUUAAGAGGCUUUUUGGAAAGAUUGAGUCAGGGAGAUUCUAACCUGGGACUUUGAGAGAUUUUUAAAUGAUGUACCACUGUCUCAAGUUUUAUGGAUGUAAUAAGACAAAAGGAGUAGAGAAGUCGAAUAAGCUGUGCGCCCCCCCCCCCCCCCCCCGGGCCCUGAAAAAAAAAAAGAAAAGCUUAUUUGGCAUAAAAUUUAUGGUUGUUUUAAUAAGUGUACAAGCUCUCUUUCAGAUUAGUUUUUACAGUAUCUGACAGUUUUUCUUAUCUGAUAUUUUUAGCACUAAUAUGAAGGGCUGAGAUGACGCCAGUGAAUGUCGUUUCAUUUCACUGUUUAAAAUGUUUAUUUAAAUUUUUUAUUUUUGCGGGGUCUGAUUAUGAAAGUUAUCUAUUUUUGCAAUUUCCUUUUUCAAUUAUCUAGAUAAUGGGAAAAUGCAAGAGCAUCAUUUGCUACAGCUCCUGUCUGGGAUAUUAGAAUGGGUUGAUCCUCCUGAUGUUGUGGCACAAGCAAUUGAAUCAGGAAAAAGUGAAAGGUCAAUUCUAGUUUACUUUGUUUUCUAUUUCUUCAUUGUUCCUUCCUCUUUUUAAUUUCUUUCGAAAUGGAGUCUCACAGCUAUUCUGAUUUUUCCAAUUUCAACAGUGAGAUGCUAGAUGGUUGCCGUGCACUAUUAUCCGUUGCAACUGUGACAACUCCCUUUGUGUUUGACCGACUCUUAAAAUCCAUAAGGUCAAUAGUAGAGCAUUACGACAUUGCAGAUAUUCCUCUUUCUUCAUCAGUUAUUAGACUUUAUAGUUUCUUAUAAAAUAAAACAUAACAGAGCAUUUAUUUUAGGCCUUGUUAUUUAUUAUACAAGGUCUGUUGCUAUAUUAUGUAACAAUAAGAAUAUAAACUCUACCUAUACAAACUUAUAUGGUCCUGUUAUAUCAUCACCACAUGUUUCAUAUUAAUUAGCUCUUUUAUUCUUUUGAAAAUAUGGGAGUGGGUCAUGUGAAAUGUAUGAUGCAACAUCAGUUUGAAUUUAUAGAGUUUGUAUCUCUAGUACAACUCCUGUAAUUUAAUAAUUAGUCUAGUUUUUGUUGUAAUGUUCAGGCCCUUUGGCACUCUUACCCUGUUAUCCAACUUGAUGUGUGAAGUUGUUAAAGUCCUUAUGAUGAAUAACACUGAAGAGGGGACAUGGAGCUGGGAGGCUCGAGAUAUCUUACUAGAUACUUGGACCACCCUACUGGUUGUAUGUAAUUUUAUUCCCCUUGAAUAUUUGUUUAUUAUUUUUAUCUUUUUACCUUAUGCAUGCAGCAAAACAACUUUUUUUUUUCCAAUCCUCUUUCAAUUUAUUUGUCAAUACCCUUUUUAAAGAUUAUUGCUGCUGUGAUUCAGCUUAAAUCUAGGAAAUUAUGGUGGCAUUUGAUUCACAAAAAGUAGUCAUUGCCUUUUAUGAAAUUUGAAAAAAAAGAAUUGUUCCUUAAAUAAAUUAAAUGCAUCAGAGAAUGUUGAUCAUUUGUUUCUACACUGCACUGCUGCUUACUUUUUGUGGUCUAAGCUGUUUAAGACCUUUAAUUUGAGCUGGUCAGCUCCUGCCUCAUGUUACUCCAUCCUAUUGGAAAGAUUUUCUUGCUUAAAAGGGAGAGGAAAAACAAAGGUUCUAUGGUACUGUGCAGUCUAGGCUAUUUUUUGGGUCGUGUGGAAUGAAAGAAACCAAAGGAUCUAAAGAUUUUCUUGCUUAAAAGGGAGAGGAAAAACAAAGGUUCUAUGGUACUGUGCAAUCUAGGCUAUUUUUUGGGUCGUGUGGAAUGAAAGAAACCAUAGGAUCUAAAGAUUUUCUUGCUUAAAAGGGAGGGGAAAUGCAAGGGUUCUAUGGUACUGUGCAGUCUAGGCUAUUUUUUGGGUCGUGUGGAAUAAAAGAAACCAAAGUAUCUUUGAUAACAAAGCUGGGAAAGAUUCUUCACACCUAUGGGAUGAAGUGAAGUUCUGGGCUUCCCUCUGGUCAUUUAUUACUGCUGAAUUCAAAGAUAUCUCUUUCUUUUUUAUUUUGCUUAACUGGGAAGCCUCUGUAUCGUGAGAGGCGACGUAUUCUUAGUGAGCUGUGUUGUUUUUGGGUUUUGGGCUAUUUUUAGUCUCUCUAGUUUUCUGAGUGUUUUGGUUAGAAUGUGACUUCACAUCCUUAUUUUUGUGGAUUUGUAGUCCCAGCAGUCCUUGGCAGAAAAGUCUUUCAUCGUUGAACAAGGCUAUGUGUCACUUCUUCCUUACUUUAUCAAGAAAGUCUUGACAUCACUCGUCUUUUGUGCUCGCACCUUCCUAGGCUAGCCUUAAGAUCUUCAAAAUUUGAAUAUAUCAUAUCAUGUUUCUUGUUUUCAGUUUUCAAAUUCAUUAAAAUGUUAUUGUGAAUAUAAGGGGCUUAACAUUCCAGUGAUGUUCAAAUUUCAGUUUACAUCUUGUUGUGUUAUAUUUUGAUCAAAAUGUGAUUCUUGUUCUCAAAAUGUGAAUUGUCCUUUCUUCUUGAGCUUGUUUAGUAACAGCCAACAAUUAUUGUUGCAAAUCUUCAGUCAUUAGAUAGUACGGGAAGGAACGUAGUGCUUCCACUGGAAGUACGAAAUGCUGCAGCCAGUCUUUUUGCCUUAAUUGUGGAGUCUGAGCUAAAGGGUAAUAUAAUGGUUGACAAACUAAGUUGUUUUUAAUUUGCUUUUUCUGUGAAAUGUUCUUUCUGUUUUCAAUAUUUACAAUAAUCAAUAUUUUCUCAUGUAGUGGCCUCUGCAUCAGCAAUGGAUGAUAACGGUGAAUUCAACUAUCUUCAAGCUUCCAUCUCUGGUAAACAAAAACUCAACAAGAAGUUGUAUUAUGAAGAUUGUUUUCCCUUUUUUAGUUUCACGUUGAUCAUUGUUAUUCCAUAUCUUCUUUUCGUGUUCUUGCAGCAAUGGAUGAAAGACUAAGUUCUUAUGCUCUCAUUGCAAGAGCAGCAAUUGAUGCCACAGUUCCUCUGCUCACCAGACUAUUUUCAGAACGCUUUGCACGGCUUCAUCAGGUGCUCCUAGUCUUUAAUAUUAAAGGAUAUAUUCGCUUAGCACUAAUUAUUUGGCUGAUUGGCUACUUGAUAUAGUGAGUUUAACUAGUGUGGUGCUAAUUAUUAUUUAUUUACCAAUGUGCUGGAUUAUUGCAAGAGAUCGUAUUUGACUUUAUAUUUUUGGGCGUGAACAUUAAUUUAUUAGAUAAGAUGCAAAACAAGAUUUAUUCCCUAGUAAACAUUUGACUUUUGUACUUUCCAAAUUCAAAGGUCAAAAAACAUUGUGCAAACCGAAGCAGCCACUACCAAUCUUUGGUUGUUAUCUCCAAUUUAGCUUGUUUACUAUUAAAGAAGAGUGUAAACUCAUCCUUUGUGGACGGAUUUAUUGAUAUAGGCACUUAUUUUGGAGAAUCUUUUGUAUUACUUGAGGUUUACACUAGAGAGGCUAAUUGAAAUGAUAAAUAAAUACAUUAAGUGUUUUGUUUGUGUUGUGGGGGUUGGUGGUGGGGGGGUUGGAAUUGCUAGAGUUUAUUGACUGUGAGUUCCAUUUAGAGUUGGUGUUGUUGGAUAGAUUUUGUUGCAAUUUUCCAAUUAUUAACAAUACAUUGUAGAGUUUAUUAAUGCCUACAAAUUCUAAUAUCUUUUAGGAGAAAAAAGUGGAUUGUAUUGAAGUGGGAUAAAGUUUGUGCUUUUUAGCUUCACUCUGGGCUUCAUUUCUAAGGAGUUCCAAGAUUCACCUUUUUUCUUCAUUUAUCUUAACUGGGAGGGGGUUCUAAGAUAGGUUUGUAAAGGAUGGUCUAGCUUUGUAGAGUGGUGAAUGGGUAUAAUUUUGUAUAGUACAGAAAAGUUUUAGUAUUCCCUCUUCUGAUUUUUGCUUUUUUGGUGGACAGCAGGUCCACUUCAGUGUACUGAUUCUUCAUCAUUAAUAAGAAAUUCAGUUUCCUAUGAAAAAUGGGGAAAAAAAAAAGAAAAGAAAAAUCAUUCAUGUAAUCAUAUUAAUAUCAAAUGACAUUCCGGGUUUAAUCUAGCUACCACCUUUAAUGUUGAGAAAUAAAGAAUUAUGCUACGAAGACAAGGCAACUUAACAGAAUUUUCUUCACAAUUUGCUGAAGAUGUUUGUUUUUUCUAUUUCACUUGCUCAUUUCUAUAGUUAUAAAAUUUGUUUCUAGGGCAGGGGCAUGAUUGAUCCGACAGAGACUUUGGAGGAACUUUACUCAUUGUUACUGAUCACUGGACACGUACUUGCUGAUGAAGGGGAGGGAGAGAUCCCCGUGGUAAUUAGUUACUUUUUUCUGCUUAUUAUUAAGCUUCACUUUAUCAUAUGUACUCUUUGUUCAUGUUUUUCAUUAUAGAUGCGAAAUGCUCUGUCUUUCCUAUUUUGGUUGUUCUCUUUGAAUAGUUAUGUUACAUGGGUGGAAUAGUUCUUCAUGGGAGUUAACUUUAAAAAAAAUAUAUCUAUAUAUAAUUAAUUAAACACACAUGCACAGUACAUGAGACUCGAACACAAGAUCUAAGUCUUGGUAAGCCUGGCCACUAACCAGUGGAGCUAGGUCUUGGUCUCAAUUUAUUAACUUAUUAACUUUGGAUGUGAAAUAAAGUAAGAGCUGCCUUGUCAAAGUUAGUGAUGACCAUGAAUUCAAUGGUGGAGCUAAUUACACUUACCAUGAGACACCGAUAUAUAAAUGUUGAAUGAUGAAAGGGGAUUCUUCAUACUUGAUGACAUCUGGCUUUAAAUAAUAAACCUGCUUGUUCACUGGCAUAUGUUUCGUGGUGCAGUGUCAUGAAGUGUCCAGGCUACAUUAUGCAGGGAUUGCUAUGUUUCAGAGAAAGUUAAAUAAUCAGUGAAUUCAAAUUAUUUGCUACCACCAUGAUCAUCAUAGAAGGGCUUGCAAUUUCUUUUUCAUGUUUGCAUAUUUUAGUUGAUUGUUGGAACUUCACUAGUUGAAUGCACUUUUUAAUUUGAUGCGAUUGACUGUUAAUAGCUGUUAGAUUCUUGCACCACCUUCAGUUCUUUUUCUCUUUCUAUUUUCCAAGCAUGUUAGGGAUCAUUGGCAAAUGGCAAUGAUGUCUCGAGUUAGAUAGGUAUUUAGCCAGUUUCUUUGGAUGGCAUAUAUUUGAUGAUAUUAGGAACACUGGACUACCUAACAUCCUCUAGAACUCUACUCAUGAUUUACACCUCGUGAUAAAUAGGUUCCAAAUGCUAUACAAACUCAUUUUGUGGACACCAUAGAAGCUGCUAAGCAUCCAGUUAUCCUUCUCUCUGGGUAAGCUUCUUUCUUUCUCAUUUUCACUAAAUUAUGGCACUGUCAAACAAGGCCGGUUAUCAAGUUUGUUGGUUUCUUUUGUGCUAAGGUUGAAAGGUGCGACAAUUGACAAUUAGGUGUUGAUCAUUUUAUUUGAUGCAGCUCAAUUAUAAAAUUUGCCGAAUGGAGUUUAGAUCCAGAAGCUAGAGCGUCAGUUUUCAGUCCUCGACUCAUGGAGGUGCCCCAUUGUUUCUUAUUGUGAAUUUAUUAAAAAAAAAACUUAAAUCACUAUGGGCGAAUUUUUGCUUGUUUACCAUUCAUAUUGCUUUUAUGCGAAUGAUUAAAAGGUGAUACCUCGGUCACAUUACAAGCAUUAUUAUCCUACUUUCAAUCAAACUAUGCAGAAGUUUCGCCAUCUUUAUUUUCAUUAUUGGAAUAUAACGUGGAACGAUUAAAUCUUGGUCACAUUGCAAGCAUCAAUUAUCCUACUUUCAAUCAAACUAUGCAGAAGUUUCGCCAUUUUUAUUUUCAUUAUUGGAAUAUUUGAAAACGUGGAAUGAUUUCCUAUCUUAUAGAAUCACUCAUCAUGGUUUUUAUUUCGGAUCAAUUUUGUUUGUAGAAUCACUCAUAAUGGUGUUUACUUUGGAUCAAUUUUGUUCAAGUCCAGUUGCCAAAGCUGGCAUUUUUGAAGUGGCUGGUUUCAUUUUGUGCAUUGAUUGGCUACAGUAGAUCAUAUGUGUCAUUGUAACUAUGGAAAGGAGAAUAUUCUAUUGGGGUGGGUUGCGGUGUUUAUGUUUUUGGUUUCUCCUGAUUUAGUAGAUUUUUUCUUACUCUUCUGCUCAACAACCGGCCAUGUUUUUAUGGCUUUUAGAGGAUGAUAUGAUGGGGUACUGCUUUCUAAUUUUUCUGUUAAAACAAUAUACAGUCAUGCUAUAUUGGCUUACUUAAUUGGAACUGAUGCUGGUUGCAGGCUAUUGUAUGGUUCCUUGCAAGAUGGUCCCAGACAUAUCUAAUGCCUCUCAAAGAAUUUAGAGACAGUUCCACCAAUUUAUGCCAUGAUACUGGGUAUCAGCAUCAGUCAUCCACCUCCAGAAAAGCUUUGCUCAGUUUUUUUGGGGAACAUAACCAGGGAAAACCUGUGCUUGACAUUAUUGUUCGCAUUUCUAUGACAACACUUGUUUCAUAUCCUGGGGAGAAAGAUUUGCAGGUUAGAGCAUAGAAACCUUCUUUUUUUCCCUCCUUGUAAGUUUGACAUUUAUCAGACAGUAUUCAAGUUUAUCUAUUCAUCAUUCUGUCUGAAUUUUAAAAUUCACCAUGUUGAAGCAAUCCUUUUGGUCAGUCAUAACUUCGUUAAAUUUCACUGGUUAUGCAGCUGUUUACUACCAUGUUUAAGGCGAGGUAGAAAAUUGCAUUAAAGAAUUAAACCGUGACAUCAUUUUAGUGCUUGGAAUUUUUUAUUUUUUUUAAGAUUCUGUGUUUAUUCCUCCUCUUUUUUCCCCCGUUGGCAGGAGCUCACUUGUAACCAGCUACUACAUGCACUGGUUCGACGAAAAAAUGUUUGUGUACACCUUGUUGCAUUGGUGAGUUCUAUACUGCAAUGCACCACACUUUAGUUUGUCAACCUUUGCGUCUUUGUUCCCUGGGGGUUCUCUUUGUUAUUAAACCAUCACAAAACUACUUUUAAGCUGACAAUGAGGAAUGCUCUGUAAACUGCGUCAGAUUAACAACCAUUUUGCAAGGGUUUCUUGAAUUCAUGCCGGAAAUAGUGCAAUAGAAUUUUAUGUAGCCAAUCCAAAAUAUUCUUAAUCAGAGAUUUCUGAGUAUUUUACACUUGAAAAAUAGGUUUGCACAGAAUUAAUUAUUCUGUCAUUGAGAUUGUUCUUUUAUAGAGAUUUACAGCACACAUAAAACCAUUAAAUCAGGAAACUAAAUCACUGAUUUAAGGAAAGAAUAAUUUCUAGGUAGAUUUUCCUAAAAAUACAUAGAUUUGCACCUAAAUAGCUAUGUUACAGCUAAUGACUAAUUUACAGCUAAUAUAUAAUUAUAGCACAUAUUUUUUCUAAUUUUCUAACACUCCCCCUCAAGCUGGUUUGAAGAUAUCCUCCAUAGCCAGCUUGCCAACUAGAAAAUUGAACUGUUUUGUGUGUAGUCCUUUGGUAAAGACAUCAGCCACUUGUUCUCCAGUAGGAAUGUGCUCCAUAUGAACCAAUCCAUUAUCUAUCUUCUCCUUGAUGAAAUGCUUGUCAAUCUCCACAUGUUUUGUGCGGUCAUGAAGGACUGGAUUGUGUGCUAUUGAGAUUGCUACCUUGUUGUCACAGUACAACUUCAUAGGAGAUGAUUUUGUCGCUUUUAACUCUUCCAACAGCCUCCUAAUCCACAUGAUCUCACAAAUACCAUGGGCUACAGCUCUAAAUUCAGCCUCAGCACUGCUCCUAGCUACCACAUUCUGUUUCUUGCUUCUCUAUGUAACCAAAUUACCACCUACAAAUGAACAGUAUCCAGAAGUGGAUCUUCGGUCUACUAUGCUUCCAGCCCAAUCUGCGUCUGUGUAGGCUUCAAUCUGCAAGUGUCCUUGUGGCUUAAACAGAAGUCCUUUGCCCGGUGUCCCUUUUAGAUACUUUAAAAUUCUGUAGACAGCUUCAAAGUGUGCCGGUCCUGGGGCAUGCAUAAAUUGGCUAACCAUACUAACAGAGAAGGAUAUAUCUGGGCGUGUAUGGGAUAGAUAAAUCAAUCUCCCAACAAGUCUCUGAUAAUGCUCCCUAUUCUUCACAUUCUCAGCUUCUGUAGGUUGCAGUUUUACAUUAGGUUCUAUAGGGGUUUCAGCAGGUUUACACCCUAGCAUACCUGCCUCGUUUAACAAGUCGAUAACAUACUUCUUCUGAUUUACAGAAAUGCCUUCUCUAGAUCUAGCAAACUCCAUCCCAAGAAAGUAUUUUAAUGCCCCGAGAUCUUUAAUCUCAAACUCCUCAGCCAGUUUCUUUUUUAACUUUGCUAGCUCAUCACAAUCAUCCCCAGUUAACACGAUAUCAUCCACGUAAACUAUCAAGAUAGCUAUUUUACCAUCAUUUGAAUGCUUGUAAAACAUUGUAUGAUCAGCUUGACUUUGAAUAUAUGCAUAGCGCUUAAUCACCUUGCCAAAGCGCUCAAACCAAGCUCUUGGUGACUGUUUAAGUCCAUACAAGGACUUCUUCAAUCUGCACACUCUCCCAUUUCCAUACCUUUCUUCAAAGCCUGGUGGGGAACUCAUAUAUACCUCCUCCUCAAGGUCUCCAUUAAGGAAAGCAUUUUUAACGUCCAAUUGGUGUAAGGGCCAAUUAGAGUUAACAGCAAGAGACAACAGGACCCUAAUUGAGUUGAUUUUAGCUACCGGAGCAAAGGUCUCUUGGUAAUCUAUCCCAUAGGUUUGAGUAAAACCUUUUGCAACAAGACGGGCUUUGUAUCUCUCGACACUCCCAUCUGCCUUACUCUUGAUAGUAAACACCCAUUUGCACCCCACAACCUUUUUUCCAUUCGGUAAUUCUACCAUCUCCCAAGUAUCAUUCUUCUUCAAGGCAUUCAUCUCUUCAAACACAGCCAACCUCCAAUUUGGAUCACCAAGUGCUUUUUGAAUAUUUCUAGGCACAACAAGUUUUGAAAUGUUUGUAGUGAAAGCUCUAUAAUUGUCAGAAAGGUUUUGAUAGGAAAUAUAUUUGGCAAUAGGAUGUUUGGUACAUGUUCGGGUUCCUUUUCUAAGGGCAAUGGGGAGGUCAAGAUUAAGAUUCUGUUCAAGAAUAACAGGGGCUGGUUCCAAAAUAGAUUCAGGUGCAGAGUUCUCUUCCCUAGAAUCUGAUCGUAAUGGUAAGUUUAAGUCAGUAAUAGGAAAGGAAGAGGAAGGAACAGAAGAAGGAUUACCUGAUGCAUUUGGAUGACCAUUGCUUAGGGCUUCCGGUUGACCACGUGCUUGGAUAAUGGCCUGGUCUCUACCACCUCUAAGGACACCUUUCCUAGAAUAAACCACAGGCUCAAGAUUGUUUCUAUUUUUUUCCAUUCGUAGUAUUUCUUUUUCUGUCAGACCAAUGUCAGAUUCGGUUUCUUUAGGCCUAGUUUCCAAGGUUUCUUUUUCAAAAAAGGUAUCAAGUAGUGUGCUAGGUAAGGGUUCAGCAAUUUCCCAAAAAUUUGGUUCAACUAUCUUCUCCCCCUGAAGCAAAUUUUUGGUAAAGUAUGAUGUGUUUUCCAUGAAAGAAACAUCCAUAGUGACAAAAAAACGUUUUGUAAAGGGAUUAAAGCAUUUGUAACCUUUUUUAUUGGGUGCAUACCCUAUAAAAACACAUUUUUCAGCUCUUGGAUCUAAUUUAGACCUUAGCCUCUUUGGAGUGUGCACAUAUGCUGUGCAGCCAAAUAUUUUCAAAGGUAAGUCAGAAUUGAUUCUAGAUUCUGGGAAUACCUUUUUUAAGCAAUCCAACGGGGUGAUAUAUUGUAAAACUUUGGUAGGCAUCCUGUUAAUAAGAUACGAAGCUGUCAGUAUAGCAUCACCCCAUAGAUACUUUGGAACAUUCAUAUAAAACAUCAUGGCUCUAGCUACUUCUAACAAGUGCUUGUUCUUACGCUCAGCAAUGCCAUUUUGUUCAGGUGUGUCGGAACAAGAGGAUUGGUGUAAAAUUCCUUGUUCAUUUAAAAAAGUUUUCAAAACUUUAUUAAAAUACUCUGUUUCGUUGUCAGAUCUCAAAAUACUAAUUUUUGUUUGAAACUGAGUUUCAAUCAUCCUAUAAAAUUCUUUAAAAAUCUGUUCUACAUCAGAUUUUUCUCUCAUUAAGUAAACCCAACACAGACGUGUAUGAUCGUCAAUAAAAGUCACAAACCAUUUUUUUCCAGAAAUUGUGGUCACUUUUGAAGGACCCCAAACAUCACUGUGGAAUAAAUAAAACGGUCUUGAAGCAUGAUAAGGUUUUGGAAUAUAAGAUUUUCUUUGACUUUUUGCCAUUAAACAACUCUCACAUUGAAAUGAUGAAUGAUCAAUCCCUUUAAAUAGCACUGGAAAUAAAUGUUUUAAAUAAGGAAAACUUGGGUGGCCUAAACGACAAUGCCAAACCAUUAUUUGAUCACGAGCAGAUAAAGAACUAAUACUACUUAGCCCUUGAACUAUUUUAUUACUAAGAAAUUUAUCCUCGAAAUAAUAGAGACCAUUAAUCAUCCUAGCACUGCCAAUCGUCUUCCCUGAGCUCCGGUCCUGAAAAAUGCAAUAGGAUUCAUAGAAAAUAACAGAACAGUUAGAGUCUCUAGAUAGUUUGCUAACUGACAAGAGAUUACAAGCAAGUUUAGGGACAUAGAGAACAGAUUUAAGAUCUACUCUCUCAGAAAGUUUUAUAAGGCAUUUUCCUACAAUUGGUGAGAGAUUACCAUCGGCUAUCCUAACCUUCUUAUUUUCGGGACAUGGUGAAAAAGUUUCAAACAAAUGUAAGGAAUUGGUCAUAUGGUCGGAUGCUCCUGAAUCUAUUAUCCAUGGAGCAGAUUUAAAUUGACAAGAUAGAGCAUAGAAUUUAUUACCUGUGUGUGCCACAGAAACACUAGGAACAUUGGGUACCGAAUUAAAUUUUAACAGUGAAAGAAGAUGCUCCAUCUGCUCUUUGGUGAAGGGGCUGGUCUCAACCUCAUUGGCAGUAGGGUUGGCUCGGCCAGCUUUCCCUUUCCAAUUUGCAGGUUUCCCAUGAAUUUUCCAGCAGGUCUCACGGGUAUGGCGAGGCUUAUGACAAAAAUCACACCAAACUUGUUGUUUUUCAUCAGAUUUGCGUUGCAAAAUAGGAGCCUUGCUUCCAGUCAUGGAGACCAGGGCAGAACCUUCAGCAACCCCAGUUCCCUUCUUGCCAAGCAUCACAUUCCUCCGACUCUCCUCUCUUCUGACCUCUGAAAAAACGUCACCAAUUGAAGGUAGGGGCUGUCUUCCAAUAAUUCUUCCCCUCACCUCAUCAAACUCGACAUUCAGUCCAGCCAAAAACUUAAAAAUGCGGCCAUCCUCUACAGUCUUUUUGUGAUGUUGAGCAUCCUCAGGAGAUUUCCACUCAUAGGUGUUGAAAAGGUCAAGGUCUUGCCAAAUCCGCUUUAAGGAAUUAAAAUAUUUUGUGACAUUGUGCUCCCCUUGUCGCAUCUCUCCGAGUUUGAGGAUCAACUCAAAAAUCUGUGAUUGAUUUCCGAGAUCAGAAUACAUCUGAUUUACAUUCUCCCAAAGCUCUUGUGCUGUUGGAUAGCACAUAUAAUUAGAGCUAAUAUCUUCUUCCAUUGAAUUCACAAGCCACGUCAUCACCAUGGAAUUCUCGGCAUCCCAUGUAACAUAGGCCGGAUCAUCCACUGCAGGAGCCUUCUUUUCACCAGUCAAAUAGCCCAUUUUUCCACGCCCUCUAAUAUACAUCCUAACUGACUGAGACCAUCUCAGAAAAUUGUCACCAUUCAAACGAAUUGUGGUGAUUUGUACAGAAUGAGAUUCUGAGGAGGUAGCACUGAUUUUUGAAACAUCCGUGCUACUAGGAUUGUUCAUAGAGGAUUGAGGGACAGUACUGGAAUUGGAUGAAGAGUCAGACAUGGUUUUAGGGUGCAGGGAUCAAAAGGAAGAAAAAAGGAAUUCCGGCAAGAUAUUCUUCCGGCUCUGAUACCAACUUGAAAAAUAGGUUUGCACAGAAUUAAUUAUUCUGUCAUUGAGAUUGUUCUUUUAUAGAGAUUUACAGCACACAUAAAACCAUUAAAUCAGGAAACUAAAUCACUGAUUUAAGGAAAGAAUAAUUUCUAGGUAGAUUUUCCUAAAAAUACAUAGAUUUGCACCUAAAUAGCUAUGUUACAGCUAAUGACUAAUUUACAGCUAAUAUAUAAUUACAGCACAUAUUUUUUCUAAUUUUCUAACAUUUACUAAUACGGUGGUGUUGAGCAUGUGAAAGCAAACUUUCUGUUGAUUGUUGUAAUGUAUGUUAAGUAACAAGGAUCCUGAUAGCCAUCAUCAUGAAUUGAGCUUACUUUCCUAUCAAAGGUUUGAAUGGGGAUGAGAAACCUCACCCACUAAACGCCAACCCUUGCCUCUGUUAUUCCUUGAACUCUAGUGGCUGCAGGCGCAAAGUGCAUUCACGGCCAAUCAGGCUACAUCCCAGGGGCAAAUCCCAGUUAAUAUUUGCAUCUGAAAGUGAUAUUUUAUUAUUCAAGUAGAAAAGGGAUACUUUCUUUGUUUUAGUAGCUUAUACAUCAUAGUAAUUUUCUAAGUACAGUACCAUAGCGAGGCUGUGAUGGCCUAGACUACUAGGUCAUCAUUCCAAGAAGGUAAUAAAUGGUCUCUUUUUUCUUAAAGGAUGGUGGCGAAGGGAUGUUGUGUGGGCUAAGUUGUGAGCUCUCAUAUAUAUUCUUUUUCCCCCACCCAAUUGUGAAGGUGGUAGUAUGUAUUUGGCUGUAACAUUGCACAUGUAUGAUACCAUCUUUUAAAAAGAUGGGUGCUGACAUGUUGCUUCCGUUAGGCUCUCUUUAUAUAACGAGAUGGUGGAAAUUAUAAUUUCCUUUGUUGGAGAAAUUUGUUCUUGCAAGGACCUUUAACAUUACAGACCCUGAGAUUUUAAACUCUUUGGCUACUGUCUCAUUACUUUGCAAAACCUUAGAUAUAGGCUUAUGUUUUAGACCUUUUCAUAAAAGAAGCCAUGACUGGUGGUCAAUCUGACUUUUAGGGCCAGUUAGUGACUUACUUAGCCGACCAUCAGGCUAACUGUUGGGUCAGUGCAGUUUUACUUUCAAAUGGUGCAUAAUGACCUAGGCUAUCUUGGUAAAUAAAGGUUGAAGUAGGCCACUUGGCUUCAGAAGUCAAAAUUUGCAGCAUUUCAUUUCUCUUAAGACGACAUACUCAAAUCAAGUAAUUUUUAUUCCAACUAAAGAGUGUUCUUACAUGAAUCCUUUUGUGCAUUUGUACUUUCAAAUGGUGCAGAAUGAUUAGAAGAAUAGUCUUCUGUUCAUCUAUUUAUAGCUGUAUACCUCACCUAGUUAGUCUGGAAUAUUUUCAGGACUCAUGGCGUGAACUAGCAAGUGCUUUUGCUAAUGAUAAAACUUUGAUUUUGUUGAAUUCCACCAAUCAGGUGAGAACACAAGCUGCAUUCAUUUGUGAUAUAUCUAUACAUAGCUUCCAUGUUUACCAUUCGUAACUAUAAUGCUUUGAUUCUUCUUCAGCGUUUGCUGGCUCAAACGCUUGUUCUCUCAGCUUAUGGAAUGAGAAAUUCAGAAUCUUCCAAUCAGUAAGUCUUCCAUCUAGGAUUUUCUCAGUGCAUCUAUUCUCUGCUUGUGAAUUUUAAUGCUGCUAAUUGGUCUGGUAUCAAUUUCAUAGAUACGUACGGGAUCUUACACGCCAUGCUACUGCAUAUCUAGUGGAACUGUCUGGCAAGAAUGACCUCAAAAAUGUUGCUCAACAACCAGAUAUCAUCCUGUUGGUUAGUGCAUACAAUUUUUAUGGGGCAAAAUAAUCCCGAAUCCAGGAAUAUAUAGAGGAAUGAUAUAUCUAGAGGAACGAUUAUUUUUCAAUGCCAUCCUGUAGGUCAGCUGCUUGUUGGAGCGGCUCCGUGGAGCUGCCAAUGCGACAGAACCUCGAACUCAGAAGGCAAUUUAUGAGAUGGGUUUCUCUGUAAUGAACCCUGUUCUGCUGCUUCUUAAAGUUUAUAAACAUGAGGUACCACAUGUAUAUCUCUAUGUCAACUGUACUUCCUUUCAAUACAUAAGUUUAGAAAGUACGGUUUCCAUCAUCAUCAAAACUUCUCUCUUUCACCUCAGAAUUUAUUUGUCUCGGCACAAAAAUCUGCAUAGAUACCUUUUACUUUUUCCCUUUUCUUCUUGUUGAAGCCAUUUGAGUUGAGCAUGGUACUGCCAGUUUCCUUCUCAUUUACUUCCACGAAUGCAGUUAACAAUUAGUAAAAACUAUCUCCAACUAUUUCAAUGCAUAUCAUUAGUUAACAUUAACUGUGCUUCUGGUGCUUAAAACUUUAAUCCUUUGUCAACUUACAUGCUGUUAAGACUGUUCAUUUACGCUAUGCUAAUCUCUGAUUUUUGCUUAGUCUGCAGUUGUUUAUCUGCUACUUAAAUUUGUUGUUGACUGGGUGGAUGGACAAAUUUCCUACCUAGAGGCUCAAGAGACUAAUAUCGUUAUUGAUUUCUGCACGCGUUUACUUCAGCUUUACUCAUCUCACAAUAUCGGCAAGGUACAGUUUUGGUACAUUGUUGUCUCUACUAAAUCAAUGCUAGUCUUGAUAUCUUUUGUGAUGCAUUCUAAUCUCCUUUUUAUCAGCACAAAUAUCUGUUAUUAAUAUUUUUAUUUAUGGUCAUAUGUCUCUAUUGUUGUUGCUUCUACAUUCCAUUCACUGCGGUGAAGUUUACAAAGCAUUUAGAAGUAUUCAGGUGGUAUCAUAAUACUGUUGCUUUCUUCUUCCAGUCCAUACAAUAAAUUAUUAUUUGCUAUGAUUUUGUAUUUUCUAUAUCAGCUUUGCCACUUCGAUGCCAAACUGUUUCAUUUUUAUGCAGGGGGUUUAAUCCAAAUUUUGUUGUUUGUAAGGUUUCUGAUCUGUUUUCACAUGGAAAGGUUCUUUUUAUGCGGCAGAGUAAAUAAUUUUUAAAUAAAAUAGGAGCUAAAUCUUCCAAACUAUUUUUCGGAAAAGUGAUAGUUCUCAUGCUUGUAGCCUUUUUUCUGCAUUGCCAGUGUUUAGCUUUUAUCCAAUCCAAAUAUAUUGUAGAAUAUCUGACUAUUUGUCCUCCUUUAAGUGUAAAGUUGAUGAUUUUUUUAUGCCUUCUUUCCUGUUUUAUUUUCUUCUAUCAUGUGUAGCCUCAGAACCUGAUAUUAUGUGUAUCAUCUUUUAACUUUUUUUUUUAAUCGUCAAAUAAAAUGGGAAUGCAGGAAUUUUGUUUUAAUGAUGCACCAGAUUUUAUAUCAUUGCUUUACCAAUAUUAAUGUUUUAGUUGAUUUUAACUUAUGAAAUCUGUAAUACCUCAAUUGUGUUGUUUCCCUAUCCACCGACACUUUUUCUUUCUUCAAAUUCUCUUUCAUUCACUAUUUUUCCAGAUGUUGAUGACUCAAUCAAGCAGCUUACUUGGUGAAGCCAAGACGGAAAAGUACAAAGAUUUGCGUGCUCUUUUUCAACUUCUUUCAAAUCUCUGUUCAAAGGAUCUAGUAGGUCUUUCUAGUACAUGUAUUCACACCAUUGAGAGAAAAAUUUUGCUAUCCGUAUGUUGAGCAUUUGGUGAACCUUAAGAGACUACAUAUAUUGCAGGUUGACUUCUCAUCAGAUUCCAUCGAAGCACAGGCAAUCAAUAUAUCUCAGGUAAAGUCUUACUGUUUGCUCAACAGAGUCUUGUAAACCAGUGAAUGGUGUCUUACACUUUCUUGCAGGUUGUUUUCUUUGGUCUUCACAUUGUUACCCCUCUGAUGUCUGGGGACCUGUUGAAAUACCCCAAGCUUUGUCAUGAUGUAAGAAUUCCUUCCAUUUUUAAAUGGAUACCCUUUUUUAACCUUAAGAUGUUGAUGUACAGUGUUUGUUGUGCAGUACUUCUCCCUGCUAUCUCAUUUACUGGAAGUUUAUCCUGAAACUGUUGCCCAACUAAGUACUGAAGCCUUUGCUCAUGUUCUUGGAACCCUUGACUUUGGUCUUCAUCACCAGGUAAAAUGUCUGUCCAUUCUUCAGCUGUCCACCCCUGUAAUGAAUAUAUGUUUCCUAUGUUUUAAUAUUCUGCUUUAAGAUUGGUUUACUGAGGAAUUCUGCAUGUUCAUACUAUAUGGGAUUAAGUGGAGAAAAGAAAAUAAGUUCAGCCAUUUUUAACUAGUAUGUUUCGUUGGUAUGCACUGUCCUGGUUGCAUUCUAUACCAUAUUUGUAUGCUUGGAAUAUUUUGCAAGUUUUUCACUUUUCAUUUCAAUGCUACAGGACUCAGAGAUUGUUGACAUGUGCCUAAGAGCUCUAAGAGCUCUGGCUUCCUAUCACUACAAGGAGACGGGUGCUGGUAAAGUUGGCUUGGCUGCUCAAGCUGCAGGUAUCAAUAAUUCAAAUGGAAAUCCAGAGGAAGGAGUUUUGAGUAGGUUUCUUCGUUCAUUACUGCAGCUGCUUCUUUUUGAAGAUUACAGGUAAUUGUCACUCACUCAUUCUCUGCACACUUUCUUCUAAGAAAGCUUAUCAUCUGCACCCUUGGAAUGACAGUUCAUGCAAGGUGUGCUUGAUAUUCUCCCCUUUGCUUUUUGUAAAUAAUACCUUACUCAUUUGCUUAUGAUUGCAGUCCUGAUAUGGUUGGUACUGCAGCUGAUGCUCUCUUUCCUCUGAUCCUCUGUGAACCACGUUUAUAUCAGGUAUUACUCAAGUUAUUUGUAUGGUCAGACAUUUGAAAAUAAUUUAAAGUUCCAUUUGAUUGGAUUGUUCACAUUGGUAUUCAAGUGCUCUUGAUCCAAAGAUGAAAUUAUUUUAGUUUUCAAGUACUCAGUAACAUUGUACAUUUUCUUAAUACUUUGAUGAGAGUGCACUAACUAGAGAAGAGAUAAAGUUGUAUUGCUACACCCCUGUUGGACUAGGUAUUAACAGAACCCCUCUUCCUUCUUCACCACAAGCUAAGAGAAAAUUCAAUGAAAUUUUGCUAUAUUUCUCUUCCUAUCUGUUGUUAUAUGAACAUCUUAUUAAGACAUGGUGUGGGGAAAUACUUUUUGCUGCAGAGAUUGGGCAGUGAGUUGAUUGAAAGGCAAGCAAAUCCACCAUUCAAAUCAAGGCUGGCAAAUGCAUUGCAGUCCCUCACAAGCUCGAAUCAGCUUUCCUCUACCCUUGAUCGUGUGAAUUACCAGAGAUUCAGGAAGAACCUAACCAACUUCCUGGUUGAAGUUCGUGGGUUUUUACGAACAAUGUGAUGUGUGCAAUCCACUGUAUAUAUGUUGAAGGUAACCCAUUUGUUCUCUCAUUCUUCAGCAUUUGCAAGAAGCAGAAAUCUGAGCAUUGCAUCUUCUGCACAGCCACGAUUAUCAGGCGAUUGUAUAUACUAGUAAACAGGAGUUUCCUAGUUUUAGAUGUUUCUCAUGAUGAAACAGCAAUUGUACAAGUUCGAUGCCAGAGCUCGAUGGAUCGUUCCAUGGAAGCAAUUUGUAACUACAGAUGACAAUUGGUUGAUUGCUAGUUCUUCAUUUUUUACAGCUUCUGGCGUCAGUUUUCACAUCCAUCACCGAAUUUUUGGUGUGAAUUAUGGGCCUUACUUGAAUGCAAAAGCUGCUUUGGAUUACCAGAAUAUUUUAUCUGUUGCAUUCUCUAAUAUCUAGUAAUUGUAACUUGGUGCAUUGUUUCAAGCUUUCAGCUCUUGCUCAAUAGUUUAUCUUGGGAACAAGCUGCUUAUUACUUGGAGGUUUAGAAUUUGAGUCAGCGGAUCUCAUUUAAUAUCGUAUAGAGCUUUUGUUCCCAUAUCAUCUAUCAUUGUGGGUUGUGGAUAUUGGAUUGCUUGUUAAAUAUGGAGGUUGAUGGUAGGAGUUUAUAGUCAAAAUGGAACAGCUGUGUAUAUAUGAUCAUGAAAAUGGAUGAUAAUAGCAAAAUUUGGAGAGAGACCAUUUGACGAGAAAUUAUAAGUUCCACAUGUAACAAAUACGAGUUAUUAUCAAAUAAAUCGAGA